UUAGGACACAGAGAGGAUUGAAUCAGCGGUUGAGAACAGUAAAGCAAGAAGCACAGAGCAGAAGAUGAUGAUCACAUGAAACGACGUCGUAUCGAGUAUAGAUAACGGAGGGAUUUGGGGGAGGUGGACUGAUGGACUAGCGUGGGCUGGACCGUCUUACGGGAUGAGAAAAGAAGCAUGGGAAGAGCAAAUCACAAUCGCACGCGUGGCAGAGUGCACAUGUUUUUUGGACGUUGAUGUAUCAUGAUAGAGUGAUCCUGGCCGUCGAUAUGUAGUAGUAUUGAAAAGAACGUGGACUCUCGAGUGUUUGCGCAACCACAGUGGCGACUGGGUGAGGAUGAAACGGGGGCCUGUGGUCCUAUACUCCCAGUCCCUCCCCAGGCGUUCAUCAGCCACCCUUACAGACAUUCCCUCUGGGCGGCACGUGUAUGCGUCAGAAACUGGGAAUAGCUGACUUAGGACAGUUGUGGGUCCUGACACCAAAUAUAUAACAGUUUCAUGAUUUUUAAAACAGAUAUUCAAAUAAAAAAUAAGAUAACUUUUAAAUAAAAAAUAAAAAAUAUAGAUUACAACUUUCAAUGUGAUAAUUCUUUGCUUGCUCCAAAUAUACAAAUGUAUGUAUAUGGUUAAGUUUAGCAACAUAUUGUCCCCCAAAACAAUCGAAAAAAUAGUGUGAUUUGUAUUUAAAUUAAUAAUUUGUGUGGUAAAAUCUUAACGUUAAUAUUUGUCACAAAAUAAUAUUUUUUUUCUAUGAUACUUUCAUUUUGAUCAUAAUUCAAAAAUAGAUAAUGAAAAUAUUUUAUUGAUUUUAAAAGUUAAUCGAAGACUUUGAGUGUUUUAUUCCGGAACAAUUUUAUUGAAAGAUGAAGAACAAUGGUUAUCCUUUAUGAUUUUUUGAAUUUGCAUGAAGGUUUUAUAAAGCUUUAAGUAAAUCGAGGGUUUAAAGUGGUUUAUUUUCGAAUGACCUUAUUAAAAAGGGAAGAUCGACGAGUGUGAAACUUCUGUUGUUUUUAGGAUUUAUAGUGAAAUUUAAUUUAGUGAAAAUUUUUAUUUUAGUGAAAUUUUUUAUUUUUUAUGAAAUCUUGUAGACUCGUUUUGUUAAUUUGAAGAAUUCUCCCGUUGAAAUAAGUCACCCUACAAGUUAGGGAAUUAAAUUUUAGAAUUACCCUUAGUUGUUUAUUUUAUUUUAUUUAAUGCUACCACCUACCAUUGCCUUUCCAUUCAAUUCAUUGUCAUUAUACCCUUUUCGUCACGAAAUUCUAAUGUCCCAACAGCACAUAUGAAAAUGAUGAGGGAAGCAUCAAUUGGGUCAUAUUUUUCGUAGGUAAGGCCUCACGGAGAUCGGAUCAGUCUGGUCAACGUAGCCUCCCUCCGGUCGCUUCCCGAGAGAAUCUUUUUUGCUGCUUCAACAUUUCCAGUUGGAUAUUCAUCAGCGGCUGAAUCAGAUGGUGCCGAAUCAGGUCUUGUCGAAUCAUAUCUUCCCACCUAUCGUCCAUGCUCGGGAUUUCCAAGGAAAGAUGAUUCAUUCAAGAAUCAAGACCCAAUAUAUCACCUAAUAAUUAUUUUUCACUUUUUCUGGAAAACCAUAUUUGUACAGAAAUCAUUUUAUGACUAAAAAAUAAUUAAGAAUUAUCCAAACUCCAUAAAAAAUUAAAAAUUAAAAUCAAUAAUUAUGGCACAUGAGACAUGAACUAGCAACUUUUAGCACUCUGAAUAAAGAUGAUAAGAAUUAGAAAAGACAAAAAGGUGUCAUGGUUACGUAUAACUUCUGAGUAAUUUAAUGUAUAUGCCGGAAACAGUGAGCAAAACCUUCAACAUCCUAAGCACCAUUAUCUACUCAAGUGGUAGACAGUGCCUGAUUUGCCACCAGCUUUUCUAUGAUCCUCUGAAGGGCAGGAGCGCUCACCCCACAUUUCGUAUCAGCAAAGCAGGAUCUACCUUCUUCAGCUGCCUUGCAUAGCUGUGGGUCUAAUGGUACCUUCCCCAAGAAGGGGACAUUCAUUUCCUUGCACAUUUUUGCUGCCCCACCGCUACUACUAUCAAACACCUCACUGCAAGCAACCAAGUUUAGCAUUUCUGGAGCUUUCUCCCUCAUAUAUUCAAUCACCCACUCUGUCACAUCUUUUUGUUCACCUGUCUCUGUCACCCUUGUAAACCUGAAAUCUGUCACUGGUUGGCACAACCCGCUCAUGUUCUCAACCACUCCGAGAACUUCUACUCCAACUUUCUUGCAGAAACUCACUUCUUUGCGCACGUCGAUUAGAGAGACUUGUUGUGGGGUGGUGACUAUGAUUGCACCAUCUAUUCCAGUUCCCUGGAGGAAUUGGACAAUAGAGAUGUGCUCGUCCGAAGUCCCUGGCGGGGCAUCAACCACUAGGAAGUCGAGUUCUCCCCAGUACACAUCCUUUAGGAAUUGCUUGAUGAUCCCAUUUUUACGGGGGCCCCUCCAUAUGACAGCUUCAUCCGGGUUUGGAAGCAUGAAACCGAUGGACAUGACCCCGAGGUUCGACUCAACAUAGACAGGAGACCAGCCAAGGUUGCUCUGGUGGAUGUCUUGUCCUUCUAGACCAAGCAUCUUGGGAAUACUUGGGCCACAAAUGUCGAUAUCAAGGAGACCCACUUGGAAGUCCAUAGCUGCUAGAGCAAAUGAGAGUUGGGCAGAGAAUGUGCUCUUGCCAACCCCACCUUUGCCUGACAAAACCAGUAUCUUACGCUUCACAGUAGCCAUUCGCUCAGCAAUGGCAACCAAGUCUGCAAUAACCAAUAUGCAGAAAAUUCAGAUAACAAGAAAGACAUGAUUCUUGAGACAGAUAAUAUCGGUUCAGCUAAAGUGACAACUAUCACAGCUCAAGUCUAUCCAGGACUUGUGAGUGCUUUAAUUUCCACACGAAAGCAAUUGAACAAAGAUUUGGAUAAAAGAAUUUAUAAGAUAACAGCAUAAGAUGCAUGUUCAUAAGACAAUGUAACCAACCCAAAAGAAUAAUCUAAGGUGUGCACCUAACGCAUUUUAUAGUCUAGUAAUUGAAAUGCAUAUAUAUUCUUGCAUCAUCAGAAUUUUAUUUUCCCCACCAGUUCAUGAAAAUAAGCCCGUUUUCUAUUCUACAGGAGUACGAGUGAAUUCAUAAAAAUAAUACCAAUCAACCAAAGAACAGAAAGAUAUCAAAAGAACCCCAAGAAUAAGUUAUCAAACUAAAAGACAAAACAACGCAGCCUUUUUUUUUUAACCUCCAAAAUUGCAUGCAAAAGGAUUAGCAAUAAGGCAGGCAACUUAUAUAAAAGACAAAGUCUAGGUUCAUUCCUUCUUGCCCAUAAGAUGACAAUAUGAGAUUAAUUUCCAAAUGCAGGGCAGCUUAAGUCUAUAGCACUAUAGUACAUGCACCAAUAAAUGUAAUAAUUAAGACUUUGACUCAUGCUUUUGACAAAAUUGAAAACUUACUUUAUUUUGCAGAUUGUUUCAUUAGACUAGCACUGCAUUAUUUACCCUUGAGGAAUCCAUUAGCGAUCAAGAAAAUUUUCCACUCAAGCAUUGAAGAAAGGUACUUAUAAGCAUCUUUGUUCAAUUGUUUAUGCCAUGUGCUUCAACUUUCUUAUCCCAACUAUAUCUGUGCUACUGUAAUGACACUAAAUUUGUAACAGUACCAGUAAACUACAAAAGCAAUUUGAGUUGUGCUCAUACACAUUAUCAUUUUAGUAAUUGUCACGCCUCAGAUUCUGGACAACCCAAAAUUCAAUUUGUGAUCCCAGGUCACAUGUUUGACUCUAAGGGUUAUGCCUAUCCAAGCUGGCAAUCAAUCCUAAUAACCUGUUUAUUUAUUUUCAAAACCAACCAUUAGACUAUCACCUAUUCACAAGUAUAAUAAAUCCGCCAAUCAUCUUACCACUCAAAUAUUUGUAAAAAGUUUUACAAACUACUAAAAUAUGGUUCAAGUUACAAAAGUUAGUUCUUUUACUCUUUGGGGCUUUUAUUUAUUCCCAACAUGCUUAAUGAUUUUCAACAACUAACAUAACAAUUUUUCUUCAACAAUAUCAUCCCAAAUAUUAAAGAAAAUUCUCAAUAAUCCAAAUAUCAACAAAACAUAAUUUAUACUCUAAUUUUAUUUAUUCCUAACAAUCUCAAUAAUUUUUUCAACACCCAAUACAAUUAUUUUUCCACAUUUAAAUCACCAAAAACAUUCAAGAAAAUUCCUAAUAAUCCAAAUAUCAACAAAAACACUAUUUAUAACAUAAUUUUACUCAUCUCCAACAAUUCCUAACACUCAAUACAACAAUUUUUCUAUAUUUAAAUCAUCCCAAAUAUUACCAACAUUCUAAAAAAUUCCGCAAAUCACAAAAUAAAUUUAUCAAUAACCAUAAUCACACUUCAAAUAAUACAAAUAAUAUCUAUUAUCUCUCAACAUCAUAAUAUAUAAUUUUUUUCCAAAGAAAAAUAUUAAAUCAAAGUUUUAGGGUUAAACCACCCUACCUUAAAUCCAAAAAUCUAACCGUUGAAACAAAAAUCGGACUUCGUAUGAGUGUUCAUCGCAUUAAAUAAAAUAUCCUCCUAAAAUUUUACAUGAAACAAAUGUUGUUUGGUAGGUCCACCGGUGCCCUAAAGCCGACGCCCCAUUUUUUUCCACUGUUGGCCUGCAUCUCCUCUUUCUUUCAUUUCUUUUGUUUUUCCUUUUUCAAACUCCCACGCCCAACAACCUCAUUAUAUAUAGAUAUAGAUAUAGAUAUAUGUAUAUACCACACAUGUCCUUUUCCUUUUUUUUCUUUUUUUUAAUAGUUAAUGGAAUCAUGUCCUAAAUGAAUUUCAAAGUAAAAUUGUUUUAGGUAAUUAAAGUUAAAUUAUAUUUUUUGAAGAGUAGGCUUGUAGUAAAUUUAAUUAAGAAUAUAGUGAUAUUUUCGUAAGACAAAAAAAAUCAUAAGUUGAGUAUAAUUUAUAAUUGUAGAAUGUGAAUUAAAGAAUAGUAGAUUAACUUUAAAAAAAAAAAAAGAAAGAAAAGAAAAGGACAUGUGUGGUAUUUCGGGAUUUGUUAUAAUAAGAAAUAAUAAUAAUAACAAUAACAAUACUAAUAAUAAUAAUAAUAAUAAUUAUAAUGAUAUAUAUAAUGAGGUUGUUGUGUGUGGGAGUUUUAAAAAAGAAAAAGAAAAGAAAUGAAAGAAAGAAAAAGGAGAUGCAAGGGAAGCCGAUAGUGGAAAAAAAUGGGGCGUCGGCUUUAAAGCGCCGGUGGAUCUACCAAACGACAUCUGUUUCAUGUAAAAUUUUAGGAGGAUAUUCUAUUCAACGCGAAGAACACUCCUAUAGAGUCCCAUUUUUGUUUCAACGGUUAGAUUUUCGAAUCUAAGGUAGGGUGGUUUAACUCUAAAACUUUGAUUUAAUAUUUUUCUUUGAAAAAAAAAUUAUAUAUUGUGUUGAUGAGAGAUAAUAGAUAUUAUUUGUAUUAUUUGAAGUGUGAUUAUAGUUAUUGAUAACUUUAUUUUGUGAUUUACGGAUUUUUUUGGAAUGUUGGUAAUAUUUGAAAUGAUUUAAAUAUAGAAAAAUAGUGUAUUGAGUGUUAUGAAUUAUUGAGAUUGUUGGAGAUAAGUAAAAUUAUGUUAUAAAUUGUAUUUUUGUUGAUAUUUGGAUUAUUAGGAAUUUUCUUGAAUGUUUUUGGUGAUUUAAAUGUGGAAAAAUAAUUGUAUUGAGUGUUAAAAAAAUUAUUGAGAUUGUUAGGAAUAAAUAAAAUUAGAGCAUAAAUUAUGUUUUGUUGAUAUUUGGAUUAUUGAGAAUUUUCUUUAAUAUUUGGGACGAUAUUGUUGAAGAAAAAUUGUUAUGUUAGUUGUUGAAAAUCAUUAAGCAUGUUGGGAAUAAAUAAAAUUUAUGUGGCUAAGGUUUAAACCAUGUUUUGAUGAUAUACAAAUUAUGGAUGAAUUUCCUUUGAUGUUUGUGGUGAUUAAAGUGAAGAAGAAAUCGUUGUGUGGAUUGUUGGAAAUUAUAAAACAUAAUAAGAGUAAAUAGAAUUAUGUCUUGGAAAAUUGUGGAUGUUAAAAUAUGAUUUAAUUGCACUUCAUAUGCAUCACGGUUGUGUAAAGAAAAAGAAAAAAAUAAAGAAAUGGUUGUGUGAAAUGGAAAUGAGAAUGAAAAGGCCCCAAAAAUGGCAAAAAUGAAAUGAAAAAAGAAAUGAGAAAUGGAAGAACCCCAAAGAGGGCGAAUUAAGAAGAGAGUGAGAUCCCUAAGGUGAAAGACCCAAAAGUUUAUCUCAAGAAGACUCCGAAUGGGGAGUAUAUUUGGGUACAAAUGCAUAUCCUUCGGUGAAAGCCCGAGAACAACAAUGCAUUGUGUGAUUGUGUGUAAGCAUUUGCACCAUGUUUGCAUUUGGAAUAAGAAAUUGUAUUAUUUAAUGGAUUGACAUCAAUUGUAUGAUUGAAUAUAUUAUUCGAGAUCAAACGAUUUAUUUAUUUUAUAAAUUUAGAAUUGUUUGAUAUGCUAUAUAUAUAUGGUUGAAAAAAAAAUGUUAUAAUUUUGAUUGGUUUAAAUUUACAUGGUUGAAAUUUCAUUUAAGGUAUACAAUGUAGAUGUAAUAUUAUCUUUGUUAUAUGAUUGUGUUUUAUUGACCUAAAAUUUAUAACCCAUUUGGGGUGUAAAACACCCUACUGAGCAAUGUGGAAAUGCUCACCUUUUUAUUUUUAAAAUUUUUAGAUGCAGAUAUAGUUUAUAAGAAACUACAAGAAGAUCAGGAAGUGUUCCAAAAAGCCCCAGAGAGCAUAGUUUUAAAAGGCUCAAGGCGCACCAAGGCGCAAAGAAGUCCUGGAGCCUGAGGAGUAAGACGCACCUAAGGCGCGGGCUUUAGUGAAGUGAGGCACACCCUAAUUUACAUAUAUAUUUUUAUAUAAUAUAAUCAAAUUUAACAAUCAUUUAUUUGUCCUAAACACAUAAAUCAUCAAAUAUCAUCCAAAACUUCAAUUUAAUCAACAUAAUGAGGUCCUAGAAUGUACGUGACUAUUUUUCCUCAUCAUCUUCUUCUUCUUCACUUCUCCACUACACAGUUGAGACUAGGGCAUGAUUGGGAGUGGUGUCGGGUUCAAAAUACUAGAAAAAAGGGGCUGGAAGGGAAAACAGGGCCAAAACGGCGUCGUUUUGGCCUGUUUUUUCUUUUUUUAAAGGAGCAGGCUCCAAAACGACGCCGUUUUGGCCCAUUUUUCUUAAAAAAAGGAACAAGCUCCAAAACAACAUCGUUUUGGCCUGUUUCUUUUAUAAUAAAAAGGGCCAAAACGAUGUUGUUUUGGACCCAAAAAAUCAAAAAAAAAAAUUAGGGCUUCUCAGCCCCAGCCCUCUGCAACCUGACAACGACUGAAGAAGAGAAGGAAAAGAAAGAGGGCGUACCUGGCCGGAGGCGAGUCAAGCGACCGCGUCGCGCCUUGCUCUCCUAUGCGGCGCCUUUGUGAAGGGGCGUCGCCUACCUUCAAGCGAGGCACCGAAGGGUGGCAUCGCGCCGCCCCGAGCAUAGGCGCGCCUUUCACAACUAUGCCAGAGAGUAAAAGAACCAUAAUGAUGGUUGUUUUUUCAAUUGUAUUACGUUUUAGCAUGUACUAAUUUGAAUUAUAAGGACUUUUGUAACUUAAACCAUAUUUAUUAGUUUGUAUAUAUUUGGGUUAUCAUCUUGGGUGAUAACAUGAUUGGCGGAUUUAUUGUACUUGUGAAUAGGUGAUAGUCUAAUGGUUGGUUUUGAAAAAAAUUAAAAAAUCAGGUUAUUAAGAUUGAUUGUCAACUUGGAUAGGCGUAACCCUUAGGGUCAAACCUUUGACCUGGGAUCGCGAGUCGAAUUCUGGGUUACCCAGAAUUUGGGGCGUGACAAUAAUCCUUCAUAAUGUAACUAAAACAAAAACUUAAGAAACAAUUCAAAACCACAAGAAAUAACCACCUGACUAUUGCACACUCAUCAUUCAAGCAUCUAAUACAAUCAGGGAAGGAGAUAGGCAAGAAAUAUAAAAGGCUCACACUUCAUACAUAUUUGACAAGCUAAAAAGAAAAUAUAUUAAUUGAGAAGCACCUAAUAAAAAGAGGUGGGUGGUUUACAAAAAAAGGCUCACAUAUAAACCUAAGUUAAAGCUGCAAAUCCAUCAUGCUGCUUUAAUAUCUACAUGUGGGAUAAAGAGCCAGCUUCCCAUUAAAAUACAAAAUUCUAUAUUUUGGUAAGAUGAAGUUGCAUCCUCAUCCUACGACCUCAUAUAAAACACGAAAUCCGUAAAUAAAGCUGCAGUUUAACUUAAAAUAAUAAUAAUAAUAAACAACUUCCAGUGUAGCCCAAAUGGAGCCAUAGCUGAGAAUAGUUGAGAAAGAUGCCUAUAUUGCCUUUUUUUUUAUAUAUAUCAUAUAGGUCAUAUUGACCGUUACCCAAUUUCUGAGUAGUUGAGUUCCCCACUUUUUAUUUGUUGCUGUGGAUAUGGCAACCAACAUGUUUAUUUUCCAUACCUAAAAGAUUUAACACUGAAGUUAACUACAAGGUAAGAAUAUGCCUUAAAUCACAUAUUUCAAUUUCAUAAAGACAGUGAUUGAUCUUUAUCACUUGGAUGAACAAGCAACAGGUCUAAUCCACACUCCGGUUUAAAGUAACCAUUGAAUUAAAUUUUGAAUGUACCUUGUCAAAUGCAAAAUCACAUACAAAAGAACUAACAUAAACACAGAUGGUUAAUUACAUACAACAAUACUCCACAAAUCACUUUACAUGAACAAAGUUCAAGUCAUAGAUAAGCCCUAUAGGGCAAUGAACUGCACUGAACAAAUUAAGGUUGUAACAGUCCUAAUAUAUAUACCAUAUGCCACCAAACUAUCCUUCCCUGCAUGAAUUAAGAAUUUAAAAUGAAAGAACUUUCUUAAUUCUGUCAGUAUCAUGCACCAGAGAUCAAAUCACUUACUAAUUUGUCCAAAAACAUUUACAAAAAGGAACCACACUCACAAGCCCAAAAGUUUUCAGUUUGAAUACGUAAUUGUUUGAAGUUUUAGGUUCCAUUCAAGUGGCCUAUAUUUUGGGGGAAAGGAAUACCAAAAGGUUAAGUAUUUAGCCACUUUUAUCCUUUAAUUUAAUCUAUACAAGUCUCCUGCCCUUCAAAAUUCUAAUGAAAUUCACAUAAACCCAUCUCUUCAGCCGUGAUGACUGGUUUUGGGGCUUCGCUUAUACUAUCACAAUGUAACCUAAAAGCCGUGCGUCAACAUUUUCAGAAGUCUAAAAAGGGUUAAGCAAUUGAAAAAGCAAGGGAGAGAGAAAACCUGGGUCAGGGCCUUUAGGCGCAGUAGCACAAGCCUCCUGAUUAGGGCAUCCCUGACAAGCGUCAGAUUGUCCUGCAGACUCCGAUUGAGGACCUGGGCAAUCUGUAGAUAAACAAGAAGACGAAGAAAUUGAGGAAACCCACAACUACUUGGACUUUGGAAGAGAAGACCAAAAGGAAAAUCAACAUACGCUCGUUGGCGUUUUCGGGAAUUUGAUUGCUGUCGCCGUUCUCCAUAGCCGCUUUCUUCUUCUUCUUCUUCUAUUCUGCUUCCUUCGCGCACAGCAGGGGCUUCUAGGAGUAUUGAAUAUGGAAACGGUGUCGUUUACGUGUUAACCAUUCCCCACCGUCUUUCUAUGUACCAGUCUAGAACAACCUAUCGCAUUGAAACGACACCGUUUCUUCACCCACCAUUGACCAUUCCAAAAGCCCAGGAUAAAGAGUGUCAAUUUUCGCAUUUCUCCAAAAUAUAGGAAAUUUAAAUUGUAUAAUAAUUUAAAUAAUAAUAAUAAAUGUAUAAAUUUAAUAUUUUAAUUUAUUUUUUUAUAUUUACUAAAAAAUUAUAAUUAGAAUUAAAUAACUAUGGAAUACUUUAAAUAUACUUCUUAUUUUUGUUUUUAAAAAUAAAAAAAUGAUAAUAAUUCUAUAAAAUUUUGAAACUUACUUUAAGAAAAUAAUGAUUUUAGUGAGAUAUCAAAUAAUUUUCAUUAACUUAAAUUCUAAAAAAUUUAAAAGUAAUUUUUAAGAAUAUAAAGUAAAUUUAUAUUUUUAUAUAAAAGUUAUUAUAUUAAUAUAGGAGUUAUUAUUAUUCUCUAAUUUUAAAAAUAAAAAAUAUGAAAUAUUAGAGUCCAUGGAAAAUAUUUUUCUAAAUUUAAAAUUUUAAAUAGGUUAUUAGAUGAAGUUAUUUGAGAUGUUUAAUAAAUAUUUUAAAUUUUUAUUAAUAAUAGAAUUUAGUAGAGUAGAUGUGGCAAGUGAGAUAGUGAUAUCCCUCAAGCAAUUUUUGCUCUUUUUCAAGUGCUUGUGGUGUAGCCUUGAAGGUAUGCACAAAAAUAUGACACCAUUUUGAGGAAUAAUAACAGUGAGGCACUCAUAAAUGUUGGUUGAUUUAGGCCAUGAAAAUUGCAGAAUGAUGGUUGGGUGUUGCAGUGAUUUAAGAUGGCAGCUCUACUGUUAAUGUAUGAUCCAUAGAGAUGAGAAGUGAGAAAUGAAAACCAACCACAACAAGAAGAGAACAGCUAUACCCACUAACCCCCAUUCAAAGAAUUGUGGUUGCAUCUUCUAACAAAAUAACCUCUAAAGAAUGGUAUUCUCUACCAGUCCAGGAAAGAAGGAAAGAAGGAAAGAAGGAAAGGUUCAAUGGCCUUCAUUCUCUUUCCACCAACUCAACUGCUUUUCAACUGCUAACACUUGUGCUUUCUUUAUCACACAUACAUAUCAUUAAUUCUUUAUCACUCACUGAAAUUAUUUGUUGAUCUACCCUCUACAAAAAAAGACAUAAGAUCUAUUAAGAACCUCAGUAGACAGUUUUGUUGCUGUCAUCACUCAUUGACUUCAGAUACUAGAGAAUGAGAAUAUUCCAAGGGAAACAUACAGCUAGGAGAAAUGGGAUACUUAUAUUUAUUGAUCAUCAAGUACAGAAUGGAGUUGACAUUUACUAAUUACGAAUAAAAAGAUACCAACAAGGUUAAAACAUAGCACAGUUAAUAGCAGUAGUGGCUUCAUGACAUAUUGAUGCCCCCAAGUUAGAACAUACACAGAUGAGAGGUGCCUUGGGUGCGCUUGCUGGACAUCCAGGCAACUAUGCAGCUUUGAGGCCAAAAAACAGAUUAUUAUUUGAAAGAUGAAAAAAUAGAUCAAAGCAGAGUAUAGGGUAUCUGGGGUUAUUGUUAAACAGCUGUCUUCGCCAUAAUUUGCAAAGUUGGCAGAGCGAACAGAUGCCCUGAAAUGAUCUUCCAGCUUUGCUUGGCUCUCUUGACAUUAUGGCUUCUCUCUUCUUCAUGUGAAGAAACAAGUUAUUCCCCACUUUAAUAGUGAAAUCAGUCACUUCACCAACACUGAUAGCAACAGCCAUUACCUUCACCAACAUUGAUAGGAAUGACCACCACUUCACCAACAGCAACAAUCAUCACUUCGUAGCCAAAAACACAUUCAAACAACUCCAUUGUCCUCUGGCUCUACUAAAUGCAACUUCCCAUUACAGAAGCCAAAGUACCAUAGGAUUACCUUGUCCUGAAAAAUGUUUAUACAUCAAAUACCCAUUGAAGCUGAGUUCAUCAAAUACAUCAACCAAGCAGGACUAACAGUCUCAGAUGGAAGUUACAGCUCUGCAGUGCAAAUUCUUCACAGUAAAGCAGGAUUUCUUGGCAUCCAAGAGCGUAAUCAACAGAUGACUUCCAUAUUUGUAUAAAAUAUCCAGAUGGUUAAUAAUGCACACUAUUGUACAUAAUCCACAAGCAAUAAGGCUUAUGGAACAUUAAUCUCUACUAGCCAUACAGGCAAAAACGAUACCUUGUCUCUUGAUGAAAAAUGGUGUGCUUAGAGGAGGGAGCACCCAUUUCUUCCUGUCUCUCUUGGCAAUUCAGUAGCUGCUUGAAACAAUCUAAACAAAGCAAGUCCAGGCAGAAAGUCUCCUCAUAGUCACAGUCAUUAAUACAGCGCCCGCAAUGAAAACAGCGUGCUAUGCACAGAGUGCAAGCUCUGCACAACUGAGCAGAUUGAUGUUUCCCUUGGCAACUCUCUGAUGGGCAAUCAUAUACUAAUCUCACUUUCUGGCAUCUAGGGCAAACCUCGAUGUCAAUGGCACGAUCAUCAUCACAUGAAAGAUACAACUGCUCUCCAUGAUAAAACCGUGGUUUGUGGGUUCUGAGCUGCUUAUGGUUAUCUACACCUAACAAUAACUUCAAUUCUUCGAAGUGUUGAUCUGUUACACCAUUGAGCCCACUAAUUCUCAAGUGCUUUAUUCCCAGAGUACCUGCAGAUUUGAAGGCCUUUAAGUUUAACAAGAUGCAGUCAACACUGAGCCUCACACAUCCUGGCACGCAUAGCUGCAAGAAAGAAAGUGGAAGAUUGUAACAUUAUUGCAUUAAAAACCGUACAAUAGAAACAAGCUGACAAAAAUUUAUUGACUUCAAGCAGAGGACAAAAAACAAGGGAAACCAUAACUCUGUUAACUGAAUUAAGCAUCAAAUAAAUUUCCAAGAAAACGAAACUAUUGGACAUGUGGUGCAGAGAAAUAGGCUAGUAUAGUAAUUGCACUAGUUAUUGAUGACAGUCCAUUUCUGUCAAGCCAUCAAAUUUCUGAUACUGCACUCAUUAUUGGGAAUUAAAGAUGCUGAAAAAUGGCACCGAAGGACAUGCAGCAUCAACAAUUUCAAUUAUGAACACUUCUAGAGGGGAAAAACAUUAAGAGUUACCAUUCAAAUUUUAUGAUAUAGACUAGGGGAUGUUAAAGGUCACACGGAUUAAAUAGUUUCAUCUCGUUUCACAUUGCAUUUGAAUUUGCCAGUUGAUAUGGAAAUAUGGAUACAUUGAUACUAUAAUCAAAAACAAAAUAAAUAACAUCAUUAAAAUGUCGUUCAUUGAGAUCCUAAAAUAACCUUAUCUUAAACAAGUUCUAAUAAAGAAAUUUUGACUCAUAUAAUUGCUACAAGACAUGAGAACUUACUUCCAAUGCAAAGUAAAAACACAAUGGAAUGAAUAUAGCUCUAUGGGUUGGUGCAAGCAUCUCAUGCUUGCUUUACUCCCAUGCAACAAUUCAAAUUGACCCAUGCAUCAAGAGAAAUAAACAUAUGCAGAUUUUAUUAAGCAAAUAGUAUGGAGCAAAACACUGUCGAGAAGACCAUCUAGGCAACAUAUUAACCAAAAAUAUGAGUAGCUACAAGCAUCAGAUGUAUUGGCAAUCCCAAAGCACAGCCAACAGGGACCAAAAAACUGAGAGAGCCAUCUCCACUAACUAAGUAAAGAAGCUUGGCCAUGAUACAAAAAGGGAUGUCAAUCAAAUAUAUAUAAUUAUAAAUCAAGAAUGCAUCAGGAAUCAAUUUGGAAAAUAAGGAACAUUUGAUAAAUAUGUAUAAGAUAAAGAAAAGUAACCUUUGUCAGCCUGGGAUUGUUCUCAAGCACCCGCUUCAGACCACUAUCUGUGAUCCUUGGACACUGUACCAGGCUCAAGCCUUGAAGACUGCCUUGAGCCCUGCCAGUUAACUGUAACAGAGCAUCAUCAGUGAUCUUGUCACUCAAUGGCUGGUCUAUACAAAUAUUCCUCCAUAAAAGAGGGUCGCUUCUAACAACAUUGCAGAGGGACCUGCAAACUCUUUCAACCACAAGGAGAUCCUGCACACCCAGAUAAGCCAGGGAAAAAAACAAAGCAUCAUGGGGUUCACCAGUCUCAUCAUCAGGAUGAACUUUGGUACAUGCCUGAAAUUCCUUUUCUUGGUUGCCGUUGAUCCGAUUUCCAUGGCGGCUAAAACUCAGAAAUUCACUGAACCCACCAUCACAUAAAUCUUUGUCCAUCAGUAAUCCAUCAAACUCAUUACAAGGAACCGAUUUCUCAGCAUUACUAAAUUCUGGUUGAAAUCUCAUUGCACCGCUCCAAACCAAAUUUAGAUUGGCAUACAAUCCACGAUCCUCUCCCUCAGCCUCCAUAGCCUCCAUUUCACCCACACCAAAUCCAAUUGAAUCCUUCUCAAAAUCGCCAACCCAACCCUUGAAUGCAGUAAAAGUAGUCCUUAUAUCCAUAUUAAAUGGAUCCGCCGGUAAACGAUCAACAAUAUCAUCAGACACUGCCUCGCAAGAGCCUUCUUUCUCACUCUUCCCCAUCCUGCGAUCCUGGGGAUUGUCCGAUUCGCAGUCCAUGUUCAAAAGAUUGCCAAAACCAUCAAGACUCUUAUCCCCAAAUCCAUCCACAAAAUACCCAUUGAUAAAAUUCACCGAUGAAAACAUACCCUUUCCCUCGCCACCAAAAUUCAACUCCAUUCUCUCCCAGCACCGAAAAUCUUAUACACCAACACCUUCUUCUCCAAAUACACAACAACCCCAGAUGAAAAUAUAUCUUUUUCUUCUCAGAAUUCCAAAGAAAGAUUACCCAAAGACCCAAACUAAUUAUGUUUGCAAGAAAACCCUCGAUUUAUAGUGGAAAACUAAAAACAACCCACCAAAAAUUUCACAGAGUUUCUUCCAAAAAAAAAAAAUCACUGAAUUCCAAGAAACCAAGCUCCGUAUCAGUAGUUAAGGCAAUACAAAUUAGGGUUAAGGUAGUUAAAGCUGCACCAGAAGGAAAAAGUACAAACCCUGAACAAGAUCAAACCAGCCAAGGAGGAAACAGAAAAAAAAAAAAAAAAACCAACAAGAAGUUAACGAAGAUCGGAUUGUGGGCGAGACAAAACAAAAACAGACGAAUGAAAACUCAACAGAUUAGCGGAUACGCAAAAAUAACAGAAAACUUAUGAAAGAUAAACGAAUAUAAAGAAAAACUAAUGGAAAUAUGGAAGAUUGAGAUUGGAAGUUUGAGAAACUGCCAAAUUUAGAGAGAGAGAAGGAGAUAGAAAGAGAGAAAGAGAGAGUUUGAUGGUGGAGGAAAGGGUUGUGUCCGGUGUGUUGUGUGGGUGUGGCGCCAAUUGAAAGAGAGACCAAGAGGGAGAGACCUCUAUUUUAUAUUUAUAUAUAAAUAAAUAAAAUUUAUAUUUGAAAAAAAAAAAAAUAUAUAUAUAUAUAUAUAUAUAUAUAUAUAUUGGUUCUCUCAGUCUCCCAAACCUAUUAGGACCUUGUGCCCUACCUUUUUGGGACUUCAAUGGGACCCUAACUCCUUUCCCCUACCGUCCAACCUUGCUUGUAUGAUCUAGCUGGAUCACAACAGUACUUUCCAUAUACAUAAAUAUCUCUCUUUUUCAAACCCCUUUCUUAAUACUUUCUAUUUUAUUUCUUUUCCUUUUUUUUAUUUUUUUUUAUUUCUUUCCUAAAAGAAUACUUUCCAUUUUCUAUCUCAUGGUUUUUUGAAGUAUUUUUAAUUCUUUUCUAAAAAAAAUAAUUUCUAUAUAUUAAAAUCUAUUUAAACCACCAAGGUAUUAAAAAAAAAAUUAUUAUCUCAAAUUAAAAAAAUGUUAAAAUCAAUUCUAAGGAUAUAAGGCAAAUUAAUAAAUUUUAUAUAAAAAAAAUAUUACAAUUUUUUAGUUUUAAAAACAAAAAGUAGGAAAUAUAUUGAAAAUUUUUUGUUUUUUUAAAAUUAUUUUUUAUGGUAAAAAAUAAUAAUAAUUGUGGGUGUUCAUUAGCCCUUUUAAAAAUUUGUUUAAAAAAAAUUGAAUAGAUUUUUGUUCAAAAUUUGUCAAUUUUGUAAUAAAUACACAUUAAAUGAAUUUUUUAAUUUCAAAAUUAUGAUAUAUAAUAUAUGGUUUUUAUUGUACCUGAAUUUUAGCAUUUUAGUAAUUUUCCCUAAAAUAUUAGUUUCAAACAUUAAAUGUGUCAACAACAAUCAUGAAAUAGUUGUGGAAUUUCUGUGCAUUAUAUAAACCAUAGAGAUGUAAAUAUGAAAGCAUUGUAUGGUGAUGAUGCACAAAAAUUAGGUGAACCAAGAAAUUGAAAAUAAAUAUUUAUUAAUAAAAUAAGAAAAAUUAGAUGAUUUGAAAAAAUUUAAAAAGUCUGACUUUGUAUGGUGUAAUAUUGUUUGAUUCAAUGGGUUUUCAUGACCUUCAAAUAUAUCUACAAGAUUAAGAGGAAUUUAUACUACUAUCCGAUGUGGACUUUGAAUCAACCUAAUAAUACUUUUAAAAAAACAAUUUUCAAAAAAGUUUUUGAAAGCUUUAAAAAGUUUUUACUUGUUUUUAGAAAUAAAAUUCUAUUUAAAAACUUGGUGUGAUCUCACAAAAAACCUUCGAUUUAUUGGAUAAUAUUUUUAAAAACAGAUUUCAAAAAAGUUUUUGGAAGUUUUGAAAAGUUCUUAAAAAAAUUUAAAAUAUUCUUUAUUUUUUCAAUUAUUACUCAAAAAAAUUCUUAAAACAAACAAUUGAAAAUAUCUUAAAACUAUUCUAAAAAUAAUUUAUUUAAAAAAAAAGUCUGAAAAACAAUUUUUUUGAUUAAAAAUUUGUCAAAUAUGUUUUUUUGUUUUAAAUACAAAACAUGUUCUAUAACUUGGAAAAUAGCUUUUUUUUCUGUUCUAAAUAAUAGAAAAUUAUUUUCAAGAUUGGUGAUCAAAUAGCCAUUUGUUUCUCAUACCCCUUCAUUACUUGUCGGUGAGUUUUUCCUCAAAUCAUUAAUUUGAACAUUCGACAAAUGAUAUCCUUUCAUCCAAAGUUUCCAUGCAUGAUUGAUCUGAAAUCCAUGCAUAUUUGACCACAAGAAAAAGUUAACUGGUAGUUAGGCAUACUCAAUCCAGGGACAAUGACAUGUAUAAUAACAUACAAAUCUUAUAAAUAUUGAGUUGUAAUAUGAAUUCUAUCAUAUUACACAUAUUUAAUCAAAUUAAUUUUCAUUAAUUUAAAAAAAAAGAAAAAAAAAAAAAAGGUUCUUGCCUAUUAAUUAAAGUUAAAGAAAUAUUUCAUUCAUGUUGGAUUGUGAAGCCUAAUUCAGUUUUAUUGUACUUUGUUUGGGAUGUCAGAGAUCGAGUUACCUGGUUAGCUUGCGAGAAUCGAACUGCAAUUAAGAUACUUUUUUUUAGAGUUUCAUAAUUAUAAUUUUUUUUUUAUUAAUAAAUUAUUGAGUGUUGGUAUACUUCACGAACGUAUCUUAUCUUCUUUUUUAUUUUCUACUCGUGUGUGUGAUUUGAUUAACGAUUCCUACAUGAAGCAAAGGGGUGUCCCUUUAUCUUUUUGACCAUGCCAUACUAGCAUUAUCUUCCAAACACUUCAAAUCCAAAUCCCCUUAAUAUCCAAAGCAUCUUAGCUAGAAUAUUGUGUUCACACAACAUUUGCAAGAAUAAACACUUGGUUCUAAAGAUUUUGACCAUCGUAUUAUAAUAUUACAAAGUUAGAAUAAAUUGACUGCUGGUACAUGUCAUUAUCAAAAAAAUUGGUGAAAAGAGAAAAUUAAAAGGCAAUGCCUCAACUAAUAGAGCUUGAGGUACUAUAUCACUAAUCGAUUGAGAGAGUGGGGAUAGGGGUUGUUUGGUAGGUGAAGUUUUGUGUCUGGGCCAGUUGGAUUGGUGGGGUACCAUUUUUGUACCCUUCUUGAUCGAGCAAACCCAUUAGCCUCAAAGUAACCCCCAUAUCUUAAAGUUCAGUUUUUUCAUGCUUAAACACAAAAUGAUUUUGUAUAAAUUGAUUUUCAUGUUGUGGGUAUGAUGAUUUGAAGUGGUGGAUUGGUGAAGGGGAGAAGGGAGGUUGGGGGGAAUUUGGUAGGAGUGAGGGGGAAGAGAGGAAUGUGUGGAUGAUAUUUGAAACUUUGGAAACCAGUUAGAUGAAAAGGGCAAGGCCCCAAGUUAAAGGUGAACAUAUUCCUCAAGGUAAACUACCCGUCCAAGGAGUCCCUUCCCUCUUCUACUGCCCAACACCCCACUGUUUGUUUCUUUCUCAAGUAUUCUUGCUUGUAUGCAGGACACGACCGCUGGAUCCGCUGGAUCUGAAAUCUUACUACCCCACAACCCCUGAAUUGCCACAAACUGUCACUGUCCAUCAUCUAAGGGCCCUCAACGUGUCUUGGAGGGUGUUCCAAACGCCAAGGCUACUCCCUUGCUGAGAGAAAUGAAACAUGAUCAAGUUCUUUGGAAUGUUUUGUUAAAUUAUUGGGUGUUUCAAGAAGUUUAAUCCAUUAGUUUGAGAGAAAUGGAAGUAUGAAAUGGCCAUCACAACAUCGUCUACAUAGUUAGAAAGAGUCCACUAUAUAUAUAGCGUUAGAACUUAUUCCCAAUAUUGUAAAAUUGUCUAUAUAAUUAAAAAGAACCCAUUACAUAUAGUGUCAAAAUUUCUUUCAUAAAUUAUAUCCUUAAGUAUACACAACAUUGUGCAUAUCCUAUAACGAUAGAACCACUUACUAAUAGAGUUCCAUAUUGAGGUUAAAAAUCGACUAUGAUAUUAUUUGUAAUGACUCGUUUCCUCUUAUAAAAAAAACGUGUCCAGUGCAUCUAUACAUUGUUGAGAACCUUUUCCCCUAACCGACCUGAGAUAUCACAUGGUGAUUCUGAAAAGGUGCAUUAUUCAUAUAUGCCUCGUAUGGUCUUAUCCAUUUGCUUAAGGUCAAGUCCCAAAGAUGUUCUCUGAUGCCAUCUUUAUUCUUUUGCAAAUUGGUCUGAGAGGAAAGUCAUAUUCUCUGGACCAAAGUGAAAAAUUUAGACUGCUUUCUGAGAAGAUCUAAAAGAAGAGUUGAGGAAUGUUAGGUGGUAAAACACAAUCUUUCAACAUGGAGCUGUGGAUUUGUCCUGGGCUGUGACCAAGCAAAAAUCCGGACAAUACAUGAAGAUUCAUGAAAAUGAUUUGGAAAAGCUUUGCACUUUCCCAGUUCUCCCCAGGGGGGCAGAAUUAUAACCUUAUUUCAGAAACGGCGAAAACCAUACAAAAUGACAAAAUGUGUCACCGUCCUAUAUGUCAGCCUCAAGCCAUUUCAGACGGUAAGGUAGUACAAGAAUGCCACUCAAAGGCACAAUUUAAAACUAGAGUAGCAACAUAGCAAAGUGAGACAUGAAUAUAUUUUAUUGCAAUGGCUUAAACAAAAAUUUAUUGAUUGGACUACUACCAAUACACACACCAAACAAGAUUCUUAUUCUAAAGCGAUAGCUCAUUAAGGUUACGGAGUUGAAGCAAGCGUUGACGCAAUAUAGGAUUGUGGAUUCGGGUUGAUAAACCAUACAUGGUAGGACUAUAUGACUAUAGGAUAGGUGUGUUACAGGUGGGCCUCAACUAAAACCCAUAACAUGCAGACAUGUCAUAUUCCUAUAAGGUUGGAGGUAUCCAUAUAUAGCCAUGUGUUUGGACAUAACCGGAUUUUGAGAGCAGCUCAUCUGCUUCAGAUGGACCUCGGCUUCCAGGCUUAUAUGGAAUUGGCUUCAUUUCUCCAUUGUCAAUUCUGUGCAGAAGAGGUGUGAAAAUCUCCCAGGCCGCCUGAUCAUUGAAACCAUGGAAUCAUCAGUUUGGAAGUAUGUAAUCUAUGCUAAUAACUAUCUGAGUUAAGAUUGCCUCUACCUUCAACUCAUCUCUGCGAACAAAAUGCUGCUGAUCACCUCGUAUCCUGUGAAACCAAAACCCGAUCUCAAUAUUUGAUUUCCACGUGCCCCAUCCUUCUAGGUUUAUUCUACUUUUAUUUUUUUUCCUUUUUAAGUGCAAGAUAGCUCAUUUGCCUAGUCCAUAGGCUAGGAUCACAUUGCUCAAGUGUGGAACCCUAGACCUUCCCCAGUGGGUGGUCAGGAGACACCAAUAGUUGCAUAGGCUAGUAACUAUUUCUAUAGUUGUCAUCUCAGGUAAAGUUAUAUUAAAUCCACAUUAUCAUGUCUGCUAUUCCUUGCAAGCUCAGUAGACUUCCAUGCCCACAUAAAUUGAUGGCUUAAAAUGGUAGCAGCACAUAUGGUUUAAUAAUGAAUGCCAAAACAUAUUCUGAAUUGAGAAUGGAUAUGAGGUCAUACGUAUCAAGAAUUAGACGUUCAUAAGCCUCUGGAAUUGUAAACCCUUGAUAACGUUGUCCAUAUGACAAGUCUAGUUCGCUUUGUACAGUUGACAUUUCAAGCCCAGGCUGCUUGACCUGCAUGAGAAGUAAUACGUCAGUGCACAUAAACGAUAACCUUCAGAUUCCUGAGGCAAUGUUAUACAUGUAAUAAUAUCAUUUGAGGAUCCUAAAAUGAGAAUAUUGGCAAAAUCUUGGAGAUGGGGGGAGUGGGAUGCCUAGGUUAACUAAUAACAAACAAACUGAAGCUGCAAUAGAUCUUAGGUGUCAAGUUUUCCUUUGUGAAUUUGCCUCUUUUCCAUAUCUCAUUUACUCUUCAAUCUCACCAUGUCAGCACAAAAAGGAAGGCACCAAGUGAGAGGUUCAACUUGGCUUAUCAACUUUACCAAAAUCCAUCUUAAGUGGAAGAAUUUUAAACAUUUGUUUGCAAUCAGAUCCUUUAGCAGUAUUAAUUGACGAAAAUUGGGUUGAAGGAGGCCCAGAAAAAAAAAAAAAGGCACAACUCAGAACAGAAAUCCACCUGCCUUUAUUUUUAUUUCCUGCAAAUAUUGUACAAAGUGGAAUCCAUCAAAAAAGUGGGUCCCAACCUUUUACCUAGCGCUGAUGCAGCAAUAUCUUUGAGCUUAAAUUUACAUAAAUGAAAGAAAUAAAUAAGGAGAUCUGGAUCAUGUGACAGUACAUCUGUCAUGAAAUUGAGUUCAUAAUAAAAAGAGGUCUCAUCUAGUUUGUUAGCUGUUUGUUUACUUUGGUACCUUUCCUUCUCUCUCUCUUUUUUUUUUUUUUGUUGAAAUGAUUGAAAUAAGAAAGAUAUUCUUAAAUUGAACAACCAAACCCAACAACACAACCCACCCUCAUGUGCAUACAAAUAUACAAACUUACAUGCGCACACACACACACAUAUAUAUAUAUAGAUAGAUGGAUAGAUAUCUGUAUGUAUAUCAGAUAAAAACAAGGAUAUGAUAGUAAUAUAUGAAGUAUUUAUAACAAUUAACCCAGAGAUAAUUCCAGGGGUGUCAACUGUUCCCUAAGAAUCCAACAAUGAGUGUUUGUGAAUAUCAAAAUUCAAACAUAUGCGUCAGAGAAUUGUUUCAAUAUGUCAACAAGAAACAUUGAGUUAUGGGACAUCAUACUCCAGAAUUUCUCAUAGUAUGAGGCUAGAGAUUGCGGUGUAUCUAAAGCAAUGAAAUGGAUUGUUGUUUUGACUGUAGCAUGCAAAUUUGAGCUACCAAGUUUCUCUAAUUUGGAAUAGUUGGAUGAUCAUGAGUUAACUAAAAAGUUCAACAAGGUACAAGGAAAGGUGAAAAUUCAUUAGAGAGUUAUAGUGGCUAAUAAAGAUUAGCAGCCUCUAUAUUAAGAUCUGAAUAGGAAUAGAUAUGGAAUCAUAAGAAUCCACAAGCUCAAAUAUUAUAGAUGCCCUAAUGACAUAAUUAGAAUCAGUAACGCACCGUAAGCUUCAUGUAAAUGGCCUCUAAAGGUUGGAGGCGUAUUACAAAUUCAUUUCUCCCCUGCCUUUGACCUAAACACAGAAACCAUCUGAAUAUUAAUAAAAUAUUAAAGCAACAAUUUGAUUUAAAGAUCUCUGCUUGAACCAAUGUUUAUGACUAAAGCAGUUAAUAGUCAUACUUCUCUAUCCAUGGAGGCAUACAGACAGUUACCAUCAAAUCUAAACUAACCAUGGGACAUAGAUUCACCUGUAGCAUAACAGACAAAUUGACAGUUAAAAGGCCUUACAUUAAAGGCCCUAUCAUUACCUGGGAAUUUAGUCAGAAUUUUAACACCUGGGGUUGUUAAAGGUUCGAUCACUUCCAAUUCCCACUAUACAAAAGUUCUUACUCCCACUUAUACAGGUAGGGAUUUGUCCAAACAGCACUAGUUCACAAGUCAUCACCUAAAUUAACUCAGAGUCAUUUUCAUUGAACUAUUACUUGAACUUAAGUUUGAUAUGAAAACUUGAGAAGAUAUUCAAGUAAAUAAACCAAACAUGUGAAAAGAAAUCAAGUAAAAUACUAAAAGGUCUGAUGCCAUACAUCUGUAGAUAUCACCAGGAACAUCCUUGAAUUGAAUGCGAAUUUCUGCCUUCCUUGAAUUUAGUGCUUUCCCUGCUUUAAGUAUAAAAGGAACACCUGCAAAGAAAAUAUUAUGGCAUUGGUUGUGAGAAGAGGUUGGAUCUGGUAAUGCUCUCAGUAAUCCAAUGCAUAACGAAUAAAACAAUCAUUGGGAACUGAAUUGCAUCUGAAACAACAAAAAUAAUUUACUGAUGGGAGGUUUAGAAAACUUGCCUCCAAACAGUGAAGUAUUUUAUAAAGAGGAUAAAUUAAAUGCAAUAAUUUAUAAAUAAAUUCUCACACCUUCCCAUCUUUCAUUGUGUAUACGCAGAAUCAUAGAUGCAAAAGUUGGGGUAUUUGAAAGGUCAGGAACUGUUGGGUCAUCUGUGUAACCUUCGUAUUGUCCAAGAACAACCUCAUCAUCAGUAAUAGGAAGCACUGAUUGAAGAACCUGAAUUUCACAUCACAAUUAUCAAGUGGUACAGGAAACGACAUGUAUGGGACAAUACAGAAACCUCACAAAAUAUAGAGGACCUUAUCUAAAAGAGAGUUAGCCAUAUGUCACAGGAAAUGGCAUGUAAGGGAUGAAAUAGAAGCCUGACUAAACAUAGAUGACCUUAUGAAAAAGAGUGUUAACACUUAACCAUAGGGCACAAAAUUUAUAUUGUAGUCUUUUAUUUAUUUAAUUUUUUGCACCUGUUGGGACUUGAACAUGGAACUCCCCACAUCCCUACCUGAAUCCUUUGCCACUUGAACUAGGCCUCAAGGUCAAUUUAUAGUCCUUUUAGUUGCAUGUCCAUAAACAUUCAUAUGUUCCUAUGAACUUAAUUUCCAUGAAAAUUCCUUUUGUCCAUUUUGUUCAUCUGAAGAGUUCCUUGUUUUAAAGGGACAAGGGAUGCAUUUUAUUUUGAUUAUUAGAAGAUGUCAACAAAAUUUUUAGUAAAUAAUAAAAUAAAACAGUUGCCUAUGAGUUUUAUGUGAGAGAGUAUCAAAGUAUGCACCUUCACUUUCUCAUCUCGGAUGUGCUCAGGUUUGAGAGAGACGGGCUUCUCCAUGGCAACCAGGCAAAGGACCUGUAAGCAGUGAAAACUAGCGUAUGUAAGUAUUGAAAGAAGAAGAGGCUAUACAUUCAAGUUCUAUUCAAACAUUGCUAUGAUACUCCAUGGAAUAAAAAUUGUUCUUCCAAAUAUAACAGAAGCUUUCCUAUCAAAUACAGUAGCAAGAGUUUCCAAGUUGCUAGCAAAACUUAGGACUGGUUCAACAAACCACCCACUCCAAGGCAGGGAUCCGUGUUAUGGAAAAACCUGGUUUACAGUGUGUCACACUUUGGAACAGACGGGUAUUAAAUGUAGCAAUUCCCCAAAGUCUAGGACUCGUUACACGGCCACGUAAGUCUCAGAGCACACUGUCUGUUUUGAUUAUGUUCUUUAAGGAACAUGCAUAAAUUGAAAGUUUCUGACAAUGCAUACAUGAUAUAAAAUACAAAAUCUGUGCAGUGGAUGUCAAUGGAUUAUCAAGUAGAAAAGAGUGAAGAAAGUAAAUAAUUCAUUAGUAAAAAGAAGUGGUGGCAUGUUUGUAAGCAUCCAAACUAGUGGUGAAGGAAUGCCCUCACUGCUGUGUGCUUCAGUAAAAAAUAAUUAUUCCAACAGAUUAAAAAAAAAAUAAACAAUUCAAUGCAAAUGCUGACAGUACUGUUAAAACACUUAAUAACAUGGUCUUACUUGCAGUAGAUGAUUUUGAAUAAUAUCACGGAUAAUUCUGCAAAAAAGUAAACAACAGGCAAUUAAUACAUGCUUUGAAGGUCAAUUAUUAGAAAAUAAAACAUGGACUAUGGAGUAUGCUGAUAACAUAAACUCUGCAAAUCUUUUUUCAGUUUAGAAAAAAAAAUUUAAAAGUUUCUUCCAGAGAAAGUGGAUCAUAAAGAUUGAAGUUUACUAAAAAAUAUACAAUCAGUUCAUAAUAAGUUUUAAAUAUACAUUCAAUAAUGAAAAAGAGAUGCUAAUAAAAAAUAAAGCCUUAUAUUACUGAUUCCCUUGCUAGUGUUCAAUGGCAUACCCAUAUUCAUCAAAAUAUCCACCACGACCUUCAGUUCCAAAAUCCUCCCUGAACACAAUCUGCCAAAGAAAAAAAAUAAUAGCCACAUGCUUAAGUUUAUGGCAUAUUACUUAUUUUGAAAUAGAAAACGAUCAGAGACUUCAACAUUUUGAGGUAACCAUGUACAACUAUGCUUCAAUUGGAGAAAAAUGGCAUUUGAAUCCCAGAAUUUUAACACUGGAAAUGGUUGUUACUGAAAUUUUAAAUGGUACAUUAAUUUAAACAAUGUGAAAGAUAUACCAUAUGCAAUCUAGUGCAACUAAAAGGGACUAAGUAAACUUUGUUGAGUCAUAAAUUUCCUUGAAAGUAACAAGCACCUUGAAAAUACAAUACAACUGAGUCCCAAACAGUAAAUUAUUUGUAAGUUAACCCCUUCCACACUAACAUGAAAGUGGAAUAGCCACUAAAUGGCAAAUAAUAUUGUUCAUCUGAUUGAAGACCAUACUUGAGGAUACCACCUAAAUCUUAUAGUUAAUAAUUUACUUUCAUGGUCUCACCCUGUAAAUAAGUUUCAGAGGUAAUCACCAAAAUAAGGAAUCUAACCUGUACAUUAUCAAUGUUGUCACGGUUCCAGAGGGGCAAAAACAUGCGAUUUGCAAAACGAAGUACCAACUGCAAAUGUAAGUGGCAUAAGGAGAGAAAUCAGCAGACAUUUCAAAAUAGGGCAUACAAAGACAAACAUUUUAUUAUUAUUUUUUUUUAUCAAAUAAAGACACAAUUUUUAUGAUACAUGUAUUACCAAAUUCUGCACGAGUUCCUUUCCCAGAUAGUGAUCAAUACGGUAAAUCUGUGGUUCAUCAAAUAACUCUCCAAUCUGGGCACUAAGUUGCUCUGCAGAAUCCAAAUCCUUGCCGAAAGGCUUCUCAACCACAAUGCGUGUCCAUCCACCAAGAUUAGCUGGAAAAGAUCACAUCAAGGCAUUCAUAAAGAUCUAGAUUUACAGGUUCUGAACCUAAAUACUGGUAGGCUUCAGCAUCUACUUGAACUGGGAAUCUUAAAAUGUCAGCAAACCUAUGACAGGUCUCCCAAUGGAUAACAUUUUAAUUCACAGGAAUAAGAGCUGGCACUAUCAUUCAAUACAUUUGGCGUUCAGGUCAUAUUAGUGAAAUACCACACAGUAAAAAGGUAAAUUUUUUAUAUAAACUCGGAAAGAUGAAGGCCAGAUAACUCUUUUUUUAAUACAUAUUUGACUAUUGAUUAUCUAAUAUUUCCUAACAUUAGUUGAGUGAAAAAUGGAUAUUAUCAGAGUAUAUCGCUGAUCACACCUUUCAAUUAGUUCUGCAGGAUCACCAAGCACAAGUUCAAUAAAAUCAACAUAUACAGAGAAACAAGUAAUAAGUUACUAAACCAAGAUUCCUCAACAUUACCAGACCUAGUCCUCAUUGAUUUUUCCUUCCUUACUGGCUUAAGGUCUUUCUAACUUUUCCUAGUUAAGAAUUUUAUCUUAAGGCUCCUCUCAGAAACACUUUGAAGCAAACACAAGAAGAUAAAAAUACAAAACUCAGCUAUUUUGUCAAUGAUUAUGAAACCUUUUGGUAUAACACUAGAUUCCAUGAAUGCAAUGCAGUUCUUAAAUUUACUAGCAUAAGUACCAAUCUUCAUGAAGCUUCUCCAAAGAUAAAAAAUAAAUAAAAAAAAUGCAUUUAUUUUAAUCAUAGGUAGGACGAAACAUGUCUGCUUUAGUCGGCUUAAUUCAAAUUACUUUGUUCAUCUGAAAUCCAGAUCAAGACCUAAUGGAAAUUGAAAGUGCACCUUGACAAGAUAAAUAACCAAAUCAUACUUAAGCCUGAAUGCAUAGAUACUGACUCACAGAACCAAUCUGGUAAAGGAAACUUACAUUUAUUCAUGCAACAAAGCUUGAUCAUCCUGCAGACAGACGGAUAUACUGAUGGAGGAAGUGCAAGAUAAAAGAGUCUCCGUGAUGAUCCUUCUUGAGAGUUUUUUGAGAAUUCAUGCUCAGCGAUCUCCUUAUCCAAUAAACGAAAACCGUCCUCGGCAUCGUAUGAUCCACUCACAUAUUUGAUCUAAAAAUUUAAUUAUCAAAGUAAUUAUGAAGUUCCUAGUAGGAACAUAACAAAUAAAUAGCUCACCAAAAAAAUGUAUGUCCAACAGAUAUACUGACCAGUUGCAAAAAUUUAGAUACUUCUUCUGAAUGCUCGGAUGUAGCAUCCUUGUUGAUAAGGUAUCUGCAGACAUUAUUCAAAUGUCAAUCAGUUUCAUUAAAUGAUGUAAAUGCUGGCCAUUGAAUGAACAUUCCCUCCCUUUCCUCUACCUCACCCCACAAAAAUCAAAAAUAAAGAAAAGGACAAAAACAAGGAAAAUAAAUAAAGAAAGAAAAAAAAGAAAAGAACAAAACAAAACAAAACAUUGAACAAGGAGAAAGCAGAGGCUGCUUUUAUGUAAACUUGUUAAACAGAAAUACAGAGAAUCAAAUGAAAUAAGAAUAAAACAACAAGAUAACAAAAGAAAAUGUAAAAAUAAAUAUUUUCUGAAAAAAUAAAAAUGCAAAACAUCCUAAAAUUUUAAAGAUAUUCAAAAACAUAUUUCUUACUUCUUUUUUUUUCCAUGGUAAAUUUAGAAGAUGAAUGUUUUUUUAAUUACAAGCCAAUUUUCCAACAGAGGAAAAAUGACAAUUGUUAUGGGCUAAUGAUAAUUGUUUUUAUAUUACAUUUUAUUUAUUUGAGGAAAGUGAGGAAGAUUAAAAGCAUAGGAAAGAAAUCUCACCCACGUAUGCGAUUUCUCAACUCGUCAUCUGAUAUCUUGGUCCUUGCAUAACCAAAAAUGUGUACCUCAUUUGAGUGUAAGAAUCCCUGUACGCAUCACACCAACUCAAAGUUAGCAUGCAAGUACAUUGUUGCUUGAACAAUAACAAAAUAGAGUGUCUAAAUAGUUCAUGUAAUCCAUGAUUCCAGGUUAUCUAUAAUGAAAACAAGAACUGAUUUCUCAAGUGUGCACAGAGGUGUGAGGAGAGAUCAUCAGGGCAGGGGAGUCUGAUUCUAGGAAAGAACCAAAGAAAAGAAAAAGGAAAUGUUUGGUAAUGCUUAAAAAGUAACAACUUCUUAGUAUUUUACUUUCUUUUCGGUCAUUCUUUCUGAGAAGCAAAGGAAACCAAGUGCACACCAAUCCACAACAAAUCCGAUAACCAAUGUAAAGCAAAAAAUAAAGAAAAUGGGAGCCAUAUGACAGAGGAUGAGUUUUAGAGUUUCAUGAUGUCAAAACUUCAUAUCUUUUUUAGUACCAUUCACAAAAAUCAGAAGCUGCUACUUUAUUUGAUGGCCUCAUUCAGAAGGCCGGAUUUGCCAACACUGUUAUAAGCAAAACACACAGCACAAUUCAAUUCCCACCAGAUGUUUUAGCAUGCCCCCAUGGAUUGAUUUUAGUUUUUAUAUUAACCCUAAUGAUCAUAACCAAAUCACACAAGAACAUCAAAUUUAUAUACAAGACACAGCAAGCAAGCCCGUCAAACCUGGCGGUAAAGGUUGAAGAGAGCUGGAAAAGUCUUCUUCUUGGCAAGAUCACCGGAAGCACCAAGCACAAUAAUAGAGAGACACCCAGUUUCCGGCACGUUGUCAAUAUCUUUUAAGAAGGUAUCACUUCUAAGACCAGAUCGUUUCUCGACAGACCAUGUACUCGAUCCCAUCUUCUAGACUGUACAAGCAGGCAAAAUUUAAAACUCCGCUCGAAUAGGCACAAGUACCAUCCACAACAUCAUUUAACCAAGAUUCUCGUGUCAACUUGAUACGAUAUAGAAAAUCAGACUGUUUGGUUGCUGAGAAAAAGUGGGAAAAAUAAAGAAAUUAAACUUUUUCAAAGAACAAGACGAACGUCCACUCAACUCACCGCACCAAGUAUUCAGUUCAGUUGAUGCCUCGAUUUUCCUCCGAUCUCUCGGCAACCAAACAGCUGAAUUACACCCUUUUUACACAAAAAUCAGAAGAGAAAACAAAAUAACAGCGCAGUAGCACCUUACACGGAUCUGAAUUAACAGAAAUAAAAGGAAAUUAAGAGAUGAAAAGCUAGAAUUGGAAAUUAAUAGUAGAAGGCAAGAAAAAAGAGAAGAGACCUUUGAAUUGAAAACGGAGACGACGACGCUGAAGACACACCGUUCAACGAAAAACGUUGGAUUUAUAGUUCACCAACUCCCUUUCAGCCGCCGUAGUAGAAACAAGCAGAAAUGGAUAUAUAAAAAUAAUCACACUUUCCCCCCUUCUUUUUCAUCUAUUUCUACUUCUGCCGGCAAUAAAUUGUAUAUUCUAAAUAAUUUAUAUUUUUUUAUUUUUAAACACAGUAAUAACUUUUAAAUAAGAUAUUAAAAUUUGCAUUAAAAAAAUUAAUGACUUUAAAAAUUAUUUAAGAAGAUUGAAGUAUCAAAAAAAUGCUUAUUAUUAUGAAUUUUUAAGCUUUUAGGUUAUAUUUGAUUAACAAGAUGAGAUCAAAUAUACAUAUCUUACGACAUCACGUUCCAUUAUGUCAUAUGAUAGGAAAUUAUCUUAUAAUAUGAUUUUUCACAUUAGCAUGAUAUUUUAAAGAAGUAUAUUUAAUAUAAUAUAUUAUAUUAUAUUUAUAUUUAAUUAUUGAAAUAAAUAAAAAAAUAAUAAUAUGAAAUAUAUAUUAUUUUUUAAUAUUUAAAAUAAAAACAAUGUUACAUUUUAAUAUUUUUUAUUUAAAAAAUAAAUAAAAAUUUUCUUAUAUUUAACUAUGUUCAUUAUUAAAAUAUUUAAAUUUUAUAAAUAAAAUUUAAAUAUAUUAUGUUAUUCAAUAUAUAAAAAUUAGUGUAUAUAUAUAUAUUAUUAAAAAUAUUUUUAAAAUUUUUUUAACCACUGAUUUAAUUUUAUAAUAAAAAAAAUUACUUUAUAAAAUAAAAAAUUGAUUAAAAAUAUAAAUUUAUAUAUGUUCUAUGCUAUGUUUGGUUCAACAUACAAAUCUCAUCAGUAACAAAACAUAAAAUAUGUUUAACAUCUCAUAUUAUAUUCCAUCAACCAAACAUAACCUUAAAAUGUUAUAUUUUUUAUAUAGAAGUUUUUAACCCAAACAAAAUUGGAGAACCGGUUAAGGAAAACAAAAUGAAUUGUUAAAAAGGAGACUUUAUUUUUGUAUUAAUUUUAUUUGGCCUCCUCAUUUUUUCCAAAUUCAACAAACCACAAUUGUAUCCGAAUUGAAUUUGCCCACUUGGAAAAUAAGAACCGCCUGGAAUUCCAUGGACUAAGACACUGAGGUGAAAAUCUCCAAAAAGACAGGGCGAAAUAGAAAAUCUAGAAUUGCAUUAAUAUGCACAAAAUGUAGACAUGAUAAAACUGUAGUGGUCCUGACUCCUGAGCUUGAGGCCACAAGGGUCCAGUCGUGGGUCUUGUUUUAGAUUUUUUUAAGGAACGGGGGUUCCACCAAUAUCGGAGCCUAGUGCUUUUUUGAAAAGUCCAAUCCAAAUUAUAAACUUAAUUGUAAUCUGUAUGGGAAAAUUACGGGCAUUCUGUAACAUAAGUGGGGUUUGGUGAGCACGUGGGGAGAGGAGAGUGAGGCAGACACGCCAAUAAAGAAGGGAUUUAUUUUGAUAUGGGUCAUGAAAUGAAUCCUUAGAGGCUUAAACCAGAUUCAAACCACGGUCAGAUGACUGAGGGGUUAGGUGGGACUUGGGCAGCAACGAUGGGUGGAGAGGUAGGUCUCAGUCUCACCAACAUCGGAUUCAAGUGAAGGAGGGUGUGAUUGGUAUGGAAUAACAACCGGAUUAAUGAGACGUGGCAGGGGGUAGCUGUGAUUGAUGUCAAAACCCGGGUUUUAGGCUCCUCCUAGGUGCGUCUACGGUCUACCUUUCAAAUCUUAUCAGAGAUUUUCUUUUCCAGACUGCUUUUAUAUCACGUUGCCAAGGUGUCUGUCCUGCAAAAGAAGCACAAAGUUGGCCUUGGUGCUUUAUUGGGCAAUUGCAAUUUGGCUUCCUCUUCUUUCAAGCUUGUUUAAGACUUGGGGUUUUAUCCUUUUAGGAUCAAAUGGAUAGGUGGAACCCAAGAAAAGACUGAUCCAGACGUGUGACCAUCACACUAGAGCUAAAUGCACCCACCCCAACCGCCCAACCCCACACUAGACCUUGAUUGUCAGCUAAUUCCAAAUAAUGCUCAAUAAUUGGUACUUUUAAAUGCUGGAAUCUAUCCUCUCUUUUUUGCAGCAAUGACUGCUGGUACGGCAUUGCUCCAUAUUUUUAGGGUUUCUUUAGACACUGAAGAAUUGUAAAUGAAAUUAUCGGAGGAGUAUGUGAGAUUAUACAAGUAAUUUUGAGAAAUUAUACUUGAACAGUUUGAACCGUGUGCUUUACUUUUGACUUUGGGCUUUGGUAGGUAGACAAAUGGGAAAUGACAUUUUGAUGAAAGCAACAAUUAGCCAAUUUCAGCAGUCAAGGCCCCAAAGGUGAGGCAAAAGCUUCAACAACCCAAAAUUCAAGGUGGGUUUGGACCUGCCUACUGAUAUAAAAAGGAAGUCAUAGGUCAGAAAGGCAAAGACCUCCACUUCAAAAAGGAAAGCUUGCUUUUGCAGUUGAUGCAUUUUCAUAGGCAAAAGGUGUUCACGAGCAAAAGGUGUUUAAAAGGUGUGUUUCCACACUCAUUUUAAAGAAAACAUAAAAUAUAAUACAAGUUUCAUACUUUCAGGGUCAAACUUACUACCAAAAUGGUCAAAGAUAAUACCUAUAUGAUUAAAAGAUGGUACCCGAGUAAUAAAAACUAAUACAUUUGAUUGAAAAAUACGUAAAAUCCUAGAUGAAGGUAUGAAAUUUGGAUUUUAUAAACUUGAAUUCCUAUGUUUUGGUUUUUUUUUCUCAAAUGAGCUCGAGGAAACACACUUUUCCCUUUAAUCAAAGCCUUCCUAAACCUGUUUGUAGCCAUUAUGACUUGACUCAUGGUAUACACCUGCCUUCAACAUAGCAUACAUUAUAAGCAAGUAUAAAUAGACAUAUAGCCUUCCCGGAACUGAAAACCAUUUAAUCCAAAAUACAAGGGUCAAAGAAUAUAUAAACCAAAAACUAUGACAAUAGUGAGUAUUCUUUAUUUACCCGCCCAAUGUUCUGAAGAGUUAAAUUGGUGAGAUUAGUUGAGAAAAAUGGGAGAAUGGAACAAAGGUCAAAGGUAAGGAUGCAAAGUCAAAAAAUGACACUGAAUUAAAAUAAAAGAGGUGUUUAAUGUUUUUGGCUUAGUAUGAGAUGGAGAGAGUAACUGAGGUUUUUACUUCGAAAAAUAGGACUAUUUUUUCCAACAAAAUAUUUAAAUCUGCAUGUUAGUAAACUAGUCCGGAAACUACAUCACUAUGAUGUCCCCAUAUGGAUUGCCAGGAUCAAAUCAAGAAAAUAUAGAACCUACCAUAGAAGUUCAAAGCAAUUUAAGAAAAGAAAGCAACCACACUAACUUCUGAUAGAUUGAUGCAUGAUACACCUAAAUUCACACGAAACAGAAGAUGUAGUAUAAAAUUAACACAUGAGGGUUGCCAAAAGCAAAGAGAUAUAGUUUGACCUCUUGAAGCUUUUAACCUUUACUUAAUCAUGGAUGAUUUUGCCCAGUUUGCUAUCUACCCCCCUUCAUGACAGAUUAAUAUAAAAAUUGGACAAUUGAUGUCACUUGCUGGAGCUUUCCUGCAUUCUAAUCCAAAAAGGAAACUCAGAAUUAGCUUGGUGAAUUGAAAGGAAGACGAUCAAUUCAAUGCGGAGAAAAAUAUCCAGAGAGGAAAGAGCAACUUACUUGAAGAAUCAGACAUCACAUUUUCAGCCACUUUGGCUUAACAGGUUUUUUCUGAGCAGGCUUGGGCUCUUGGGCAACAGGGGGAGGAGCCACUUUUUCAGCUUCAGGUUCAAUUGCAGGUUGGACGGGUUCUACCAGCUCAGUGACAAGAUGUAAGCCUUUCAAAGACAUGAUUUCUUCUCGAAGGCAGGCACCCGAAUUUCCAGCUGCACCAUCAUUGCCUGAACAUGUCAAAAAGUGAUCACACUUAAUAACAUUAGUCAUUGUUCUCAAACAGGGAAAUCAUCAGUGGAAUUGGAAUCCACCCAACAGAGAGACUGCGUCAUCAACAAACUGAAACAGGGGGAAGAAAGCAAAAGGAAAACGACUAAAUUUCAUUUUCUAUGAAGCACAUAAUAUAUUAGGUCAAUUGCUGUUUAGACCCUCUAGGAAUCAUUUUCUUCCUCACAUUCUGUCAAUUAGGUACAAAUGGAGCUUAUUUUAGUCAGUCCAUGUGUUUUGCACCUUUUUCUUUGAUUAAAGUUAUGAAAUAUGCUUGGUUUUUGUAUGCAGCAAUUUUAACUAUAAUGCAGCAAAGUCAGAGUGCUCCAUUAGUCUUGCUUCUGUUGCGAAGGUAAAAAUUAUCUUAAAGUUGGCAGUAGAUCAGGAAAACUAUUUUAUAUAGUGAGGGUGGCUUCCCAAGUGGUCUCUUCUCUGUUGGUGAGAGAGGGAGGGGGGGUUCAUCCACUUUGUUAAACAAAAGGCAAAUUAGGUCCUGAGUUCAUCAGAACUAAGAUAACCGCAAUGUAACGCCCAUCAAAUGCCACAAGAAAAGGGAAAGUGCAUUUCAAACACAGGGCAACUUUAUCACAUCCCUAAAAACAAAAUAAACAGAUAAGCCAUCCUUCAAAUGUUAUUGUUCCAGUAAGCUACCUAGACAAGACAAGCAUGCAAUGGUACCAGCCUUGUGAAAUUUCUCAUGGAUGUCCUCAAAACUGAACAGUGGCACAACUAGAAAUUGAGGGUUGGUUUACAGCCCAAGUUCAGUUGUAUGGUUUUUUAGCUUUGCAAUAAACAUUUAUAUUUAUGUCAAGAUCAGAGUCAAGCACAGAGCUAACAAACCAAAAAAAUUGUGCUAAUUUGAAAACAAAAUCUUAAUGGACCAAAAGUUUCAGGAACAAAUUUUGAUCACAAAUAAGUCAAGGCUAAUUGCUGUCAAGGUCACAUUCAGAGACAAUGUUAGACUGACCAUGGAAGGUCUCAGAUUGCAUCUGGUGUUACAGAGGUCACAUAUCCAUGGCUUGUGAAGCAAGAUUAGAUGGGUUUCUAUGUUAUCCCCAGAAAAAAUAAAUAAAUAAAUAAAGAAAAGAAAAGAAAGAAAUAAUCACACACAACUUGCAAAUUAUGCAUGAAGAUUCAGCUUACAAGAGCUCAAUUGAAUGCUAAUAGGAAACCAACAUGUACUAACCCUUUGGUUGAUCAUAUGAAAAAUAGAUGAUUGCACCAGGAACAAACCCAGCAGAGUAAAAAUCCUGUGACAUAUCUUUUAUUUGCUUCUUAGGGGGAGCAGUAUCUGAAAUACAACCAAAUCGAAAUGUUAAGCUUCACUACUUUAGCUUAACCAAUCUAAAAUAACAUGUUGAAAUUUGGAUCUCAGAUAAAUAAAUUGAAGCUUUUAAUCAUACAUAGAAAUAAUAAAUAUUUUGGUUUGAAAAAUUCCUACAUAUGUAGAAUGGUAGUUCUGGUUGAGCAAUCACUUUCAUGAGGAGAUCAACCAAGCUCUGAAGUGUCUCCGAUGGAUGAAAUGUGGCCUCUAAAGUGUGAUUAUCAGGGAAUCUCACCCGAAUGACAGCCUGCAAAAGAAGCAGAUAAUUUUACUAUGAAAACCCGAACCCUCAUUAAAAUUUUAUCAAUUUAACCAGUGAAAAGAGAUCAUUAACAAAGGAAGGUCCAGUCGGCACUUUUGUUAUUCUCGACUUGCGAGCAGCCUCUUCUGCUUCUCGGAUUUUUCGUGUCUUCAAGAAUUUAUCUGCUUGCAUUUCCAUUUGAUGGCAUUAAAGAAGUUAACAUCAUAAUAGGAUGGGAAUGAGUGUGUAUGCAUAUGUAAUACAAAAAUAUGCAUAUGUAUGUAAUUAUAUAUAUAUUCAUUCUGGACCUCUAUUAUGCGUGUGUGUGUGUGUGCGCGCGUGUGUAUUGAUAUAGGGGCUCUAUUAUAUGUCAACCAUUAUAUCAAUUUUUUUGCACAAAAGUUAGAAAUACAUAAAAGGCAGGACUAGUCUAGUCUCUUAGUGAGAGACAAGAUUAUGUCUCCCACUCCUUGCUGAUAUUCCUAUCAAUGCCCUAGGAUUGGGGACCCACACAAAAUCGGUCCUAAAUGUGAAUCUUCAAGCCAAAUAUCUAACAAAUUCAGUACAUAUGCAAAAUGGGAUAAUAUUUGCCUAUAUAAUAGUUUGGUUGAAAUAUCCACUUCUUUCCACAACCUGCAAAGAUGUGUCAUGAAUAUAAUGCAACCCAAAGCACAACCUAUUGCAUUUCCUUUCCCUUGAUAUGACUAAAAUAAUCAAUAAAUAAGGUCAUCGUCAAUUUACCUUCCUUUUUGGUGGCCAAAAUUCGAUAAUAAUCUUCUGCAGUGAACUCAUAGAAGUCAUCUGUCUCCUCUGCCAAAGACAAUUAAAAAAUUUAAAAUUUCCUAAAUACAUCCCUAAUACUGAAAGUACUCCAAAGGUGAUAUAUAAGUCCUAGUGUGUGUCUCCCAGGCAGGGUUGUAAAGGUUCAAAUCUUUCAUACCACUAUGGGAUGCUUCAUCUGGUGUUUGAGAAGUUGUUGAUGUUUCAAAUACAUGGAUUUCAUGGCCAAACUUUUGUUUCACAGCUUCAAGAGCAGCCUGAAAUUACAUAUGAAAAAUCAACUAAAUAGCAGCCCAACGUACACCAACAACACAAUAGUUAGCUUAAAUUACUGCAUAACAACAAAUUCACCUUGUCCACUGGUUUUGAAAAAAAAAUUAAAAAAAAUAGCAACAAUUAAUAGACAUUUGUAGUGAACUUGAUUAGAUGAAGAGUCUAAUAAAAAUUAUUAGAACUAGGAAGAGUGCAAAUCAAAUGAUAUAAUUUAAAUCUGAAUAUAUUCUUGACUAGGGAUAAUCUUAAUGACUUGAGAACAUCAAAAUCCAAUAGAAAGAAAACUUAGCGACAUUUAGAGCCCAUUUGGUAGUGAUUCGAGGAAGCGCUUUUAAUAUUUUUAAUACUUAUAAAAAUUUAUCAUUCAAGUGUUAAAAAUGUUAGAAACACUUUCUAGAAUCACUCUCAAAUGCACUCUUAAAGUCCAAUUGAUGGUGCAUUUAGAAAACACUUCUAACAUAAAAAGUGUUUUUAAAGAAAAAUCAAGUUUAGCAAUAUUUAGAAAACACUUUUAAAAAGUUGAAAAAUCACUUAUAGUGCUUAUCAGAGAGGCAAUUGAUAGGUAAUUCUGCCCAAAAACAUUUCUAGAGAAAGCACUUCCAUUAAAAGCACUAUGGAUAGAAACCUACCAAAAGCAAUCUUAUUUUUCUUGGAUGCCUCAUUGGAAUCCUAGUUGGUGCAAAAGUAGAACCUAACAGGCAGCCCAGGAUUUAGACUCCCUAACUACUUAUAUACUCUUGCCCUUUCAGUUUUACCCGUAUAUUGAUAGGAGUCAUUAACAUCGAAUAGAUAGCACCCAAGUUUUGGAUUUGUGAUUCUAAAAGCACGAUGCUAGAAAGGGCAUCAGUUGUCAAAAAUUGCAAGAGAAACAGGACAAAAUUACCUUAUCCAAUUCAUACUUGGGUCCUAAGCCUCAAACAUGUUAUGGUUAAUAAGUUAGUUUAGAUUGCAAGAGAAUCAACCCAGAUCAGCCUACCCAAAUGCUAAUUUGAAAGGGCCCCAUUGAAUAAACGGAUCUAACAGCCACCUCAAAAUCCUCCUAAUAUAGGUUUCCAUGAGAAAACGCUGAAGCCAAUCAGUCAGGAAUUCAUGUCAAUUAGUUUACAUAAUUUCCCAUGAAAUUCACAUAAAAUUAGCACUGUAUCCCAAGUCCAAUCAAACCCACAAAAACGAGAUUGAAAAAAAAAAAAAUCGUUCUUUAACGUCUUCCAAGCCCAGGAAACAAAACCAAACCCCAAUUAAACCAUAAGAAAAGGGACACAUAAACCCCACCCGACGCCAAGAAUCCAACACUAAUCGCCAUUUCCACCACGGACAGAGCACAUUACAGAAACCCCGAUCGAGCCCAUCCCCAAUAACAGGAAACCCACCAAAAAUUGAACCAGAAAAAUCCAUUGAGAUCAAGAAAUUAACACACAAGGAGUUGAAACGGACAAGACCUUGGCAGCAACUUCAUCCAUCGGAUCAAUGGUAGUGAGCCUCCUUCUCUUCCAAUGUGGUGAAGAAUCAAAGAUCAUUGGGGAAUAAAGGAAACCCAACAGUCUUGCAUAGAGCCGUGGCAGCUUGUAUUCAGCUUCAUAUAUAUCUUUUGGGUUGGCCUCCCAACUCCUCUACAGUAUCGUUUCUUUUUCUUUUCUUUCCCAUGAGUCGGCGCUCGCACGUGGUGAUUGCACGCGUGUACGCGUCUCAUCCGAGUACCGGAUUCGUUUCGGCCCAAAUUUAAGUUUGGGCUGAAUAGUCAAGCCCAUAAUCAGCCCACAAAAGACAUCCAUUGAAGAUGAAACCCUAUAUGGACUACCUAUGAUUUAGAUGUUGGUCAAUCCAGUGCAAAAUAUUUUAUACUUUUGAUUCUCUAAUUUUCAUCCCAGGGUUAUUAAUGUUUUUAUUUUUUAUAUUUUAUUCAUUAAAUUAUUAAGAACAAAUUCAGAACUUUUCAUAUAAUUUUUUAAAAAAAAAAAUUGUUUCAAAUCUUCAAUAAUUAAAAUUAAAAUUAUAUAUGUCAUGAAAGCAUUAUCAAGAUGAACUAUUUUUCAAGAGAAUUAGACAUCGAAGCUCUAUAACAACAUUUUAAAAUAAGUUUUUUAAGAUUACGUUUGAUUUCCAAAAAAAAAUAUAAAAGAAAGAAUAAAGAUGAAAAGUACAAGAAAAAAAUGUAAAAUAAAAUAAAAUAUAAAUUUUAAGUUAAUAAGUUAUUUUUAUAUAUUUCUUUCAACUUAUUUAAUUUAUUUAAAAUUUUUUAUAUAAAAAUGAUUAAUUUAAAAAUACAAAAAAAUUUAAUUAGUUUUAAUUAUAUAUGUUUUUUUUUUAAAUAAAACCAAACACGAUAAAACCAUGUCCUCGGGCAUAUUCCAUAGUACUCGUUCGAAAUCAAAAUUUAGUGUAAAUAAAGUUUAUAAAAACUUUCAUGGAUAAUACUUUAAAACUUCCAUAAUGACAUUUGAAAUCGAUUUUAAAUCAUUUUGACAAAUUUUGAAGUCAAAUUGUAUUAAAUGAAAAUUGUCUCAGUAUCUGAAUGAAAUAUCAUUGUCCAAAAAAAUGCUUGAAUUACUUUAUAAAAUGUCCACAAUCUCGAUUUAUUAUUUUACUAAUAAAUUUUUAGGGUAUAAAUGCUUUUAACAUUCUUUUCACCAAAAUGAAAUUUAAGAGAGAACUUUAUGUUAAGAGUAUUCUUUCGCUUUUGUCUAAUAGAGUAAAAAUAAAAUAUAAAAUAAAUAAAAAUAACAUUUUUUUUAUUGAUAGGAUCAAGUCAGCCCCACUUAGGUAUCCAAACCCAACUCCAUCAAUCACCCACUUACGCAUCGGUUCGGUAGUUUACUAUUUCAAAUGAUGAUUAUUCUUUAAAUUGAAGACCGAUGGUUAGCCCAGUGGGACCUUCUGUCAAAUCAACCACGCCCAGUAGUAAUCAGUCAGCUGGUUAACCAUACACUAAACCAUGCUCAGUAGUUUUCAAAAUAUUAAGAGUUGGGGGUUGAAUGCAGUGUGAAGCAACAGUACCCACCACGUGUUUGAACUUUGAACCUGCCCUUUAUAAAUUCCAAAUUCCCCCACCUCACCAAACAUCCUGCUUUGUCAUAAUCCAUUUUUCCUAUUUUUGUAGCAUGUUUGUAUACUUGUCUGAUUUAGAAAUGCUGUGACGCCCAAGCAAAGCUAAGUAUUUCAAUUUUCAGCCAUCAUCUUUUGUCCAUGGCCCUUACCCCUUCAACUUUGGAUAUAUACUUUCAAAACAAGGGAAAAAGACACGUCUAAUAAGGAUUGUUUAAUAUGAAGUGGGUUUUUUUUUCUAAUUUUUAUUUUUAUAAAUACUAAUUUUAAGUGAUUUUUAAUUGUAUAUUCUCUUAAUAUUAAAUAUUUUGGCAAUUCUAUUUAUGUCACACCAUAGAUUUUAUUUAUUGCUUAUUUAUUCCAAUAGUUUAAUUUAUUAUAAUUUACAUUUCCUAACAUCUCGACGAAACUUUCUAAAAUUUCACCUCUUUUACUUUUAAUUGUACCAAGAAUAUCUUAUAAAACUUCUCGACUUUUGAAUAUGGAAUAUCCCACUUUCACGCAAUUCAUUAGGUUCAACGAGCUUUUAUCACUCAGUUCAUGAUUUGUAAUAUUUUCUCAAGCCUUAAUGUUAAACAUGGAAUUGUUGAUAAAAUAUUUGAUAAUUAACUGCUUUAAUCCUACCAUUUGAGAAAGAAUUUUUGGUGUUCUAAAUCUAACUUUGUUUGUAAAAAGGAAGUUUAAAGUUUGGAAAUAGAUACAAAGCAUACCCAUGGUUUGACGGUUUGCUUUGUAAUGAUGAAUAUGUCAUGAAUUUGUCAAGUCCCCAAAUGUAAGGAUUAUGAAUUUUAAUACGGGGCAUCAUAAAAUUUCUCUUUUAAAGAAUAAUGGUAUUGUAAACGAUGUCAAACUAUGUAAUCUAUAUACAAUUGAUUUUUUGAAUAAAAUAAACGAGCAAAUAAAUAAAAAGUAUCAAAAUUGGUGUGUUGAUAAGGGUUCUUUCUACUUAUUAAUAAUACAAUAAUGGUAUGUGACAUAUCUUUAAUAGAUACGAAAUGUUUUUUAUCUUUUCAUCUUGUUUCUCCCUCGACUAACUUCAACUAACUACCUAAAUACCAACCUAGGUCAUGCUAUGAAGAGAUUUCACAUCCUAAUUGUUACUGUAACAUUAACUUCGAGUUCAAGGCCUUUCAAAACAACUAAUAAGUAAUAAUAGUAGCAAAAUUAAGGUGCUCAAUUAAUCAUCUCAACAAGCGCAAGCUUCGUGCUAAAGUGGGUCAAAUCGGAUUUUUUGAGUUAGCAAGAUUCCCUUACGUGUUGAGAAAAGCAAGAAUGAGAUUUCUUAACCUCCUUUCACCUUGACUUCUAAAUUUAACUAUACAUGAACAAGUAAAAAUAAAAAUGAAUUGUAUGGAGAAAACUUUUUUGAAGUCGACUUGGCAGUUAAGGGGAUAAUUGAUACACACUAGUGAGAUUGCGCCUGCGAAGCAAGGUAGCAUUCUCCGUAAUGAGAAUCGCCAAUCCAACGUUCCAAAAUACGUUCCAAAAUAGCCGGCAAUAGCAUGUUGUGUUGCACCCCUGCGCACGUUAGCACCACCCUCUCUAUCCAUUUCAAAUUCUUUCACUUGCCUUAAGACGUGACUCUAUCCCUCCCUGGCCCCACAAAAAUUUAAAACCACCCCCUGUAUUUCUCUGAAGUCCAAAAUUCCCCCCAGAUUCCGUACCUCUUCCACAAUUAACACAUUCCAAAGGACCUGCAUUUAAAAAAUGAAUUUCACCAAAAUGAAAUACUUUUUUAAAAAAAGGAAAAAACCACCGAAACUCAGAGGAGGAAAGAGUAGAAAUCUAGGGACAGGGGAGCGACAGAGUGAUGACGAUGGAUAGAGAGAAGGAGAGAGAGAUUGAGCUUGAGAGUGCAAUGUACACCAACUGUUUGUUGUUAGGGCUCGAUCCGGCGAUCAUCGGAAUCGGUGCCAACUCAGGUACUCCCAGAGUCGGCCUUUUCCGGCACUCUAACCCUAAAUUGGGCGAACAGCUUCUCUACUUCAUCUUGUCUUCGCUCCGAGGCCCUAUCCAAUCCGCUAAAGUACGCUUCCUCAAUUUCCAUUCUAAGCAUUUCCUUUCGAUCCGUUUCUUUCUUUUUUUUUUUUUUUUUUGCUUUAUUAUUUUAUUUUACUUUUUAUUUUCCCCUUUUCCCUAACUCGUAGAGAUCUUUCAGGACUUCGACAAGGUUUGGCCGAUUUUCGAUUCGGCGCAAUCGCGUGAUUUUCGUAAGGUGAUUUUUGUGUUCGUGAUUCACGUUUGUGUUUCUGUUUAAGUUUGCGUUCAAGUUGUUGAUUGGUGCGAUUUGUGUGGCAGGUUGUCCAAGGGAUAAUCAGCGAACUCGAAUCGCAAGGGGCGCUUCCGAGGAGCAAUUCGAGGGUUUCUUCCUUGGCUACGUGUUGUGGACCGAGGUUGGUUGGUUUUCUGUACUUUUUUCAUUUUAAUUUAUCUUUGUAGAUGUGCGUGUAAGGCCCCAAGUUGUUUAGCUUUGAAAUGAAUUUUUCUUUUUCGUCAAUUUACAGAAUGGAAAGGAAAUGAAAUGAAAUUUUGAAUCAUGUGGCUCUCUCCCAUGUUCAGUUUGGCUUGAACCUUGGACAAAUUCAAAUUUGAUCUAACCCCAUGUGGUCAAUUCUUGUUGUAUGGUCUGCAUUGUGGAUAAUUGGUACAAAGUAUAAGGCAUUUGAGAUGUGGGGGAAAAGAGUGGCCCCUAUAAGUUUUCCCAUUGUGAAAAUUUAGGAUGUUUUCAUCCUAGCAGUAAUGCAAGAACUCAAUGUUUGUCAUUGCACUUGCAAUCUCAUGUAGUGCAGCAUAGGUGCCCACUUGCAUUUUUAAUGUCUGAUAUACUUGAAAGGGAUAAUAGGUUUCAUGCUUUAUUGCAGGUUUGUUGAACUUCUCUGGCAACUUUCUUUGCAUGCUUUGCGAGAGGUUCAUAGACGAAGUUUUGCAGCUGAUGUAGCUUCCAACCCAUUGCCUGCUUCUCUGACAGAUGUAGCAUUUUCACAUGCAGCCACACUGCUUCCUGUAACAAAGGUGAGACCGAGUUUCACAUGCAGCAGUAUGAUAAGGAUAUAGAUGCAGAUGCUAUUGUUAGUCACAUAUAUGAGGUCUGAAACUGUGAUCUUAAAAGGAACUGAAAUUUGAUAUCGAUGUCGUCACAGUCAUGUGGUUGGUGUUUGACAUGGAUAUGAUGUAUCUCACAGGGACACAUAGGUAAAUGGGAGAAAAAAAAUAAAAAUAGGAGUGCUCUUCCUCUAGCUUCUCACUGUUCAUAGCUAAUUUUAAAGUUUAUAUAUUUAUUUUUUAUUUAAUUUUUUGAUGGGCAAAUAAAAUGAGUAUAUCAUAAAAUUGCAAAAGGGACGGUGCAUCAAAGUACAUAGGUCGUAUACAAUGGCAGCCAUCAAGCAUGGCCAGAAGCAAGGGAACUUCUCUCUCCCUUUAUGAGACCCCGGCUAAUCUACAAGGUCAAUUAAAGACAUUGAACCUUCAUCUAUUUACAACUUAACUGUUUAUUUAUUUAUUUUGCCUGUUUUGCUAUUGAUUUUUCUUUAAUUUUGAUUUACAUGCCUGCCUGUACCAAUGAUCUAGAAUUUGAAUAUUAUAGUUUCAAUUUCAUAUCUAUGCUGUGUGCUAGCAAUGAAAGAUAUAAUUUGAAAUGACAAUUUGGUGCUCCCCUUCUACAUUUUUAAUUUUACCAUUUACUGCCCUAGUGAUUGGAAUCUAUUAAAGAAAUAGUUUGUAUGGUUUAUCUUUAUUUUCUAAUUUUCUUUUCGUAUGAAUAGUUUUCUUUAUCUUCCUUUUCAAUAUCAGUUUUCAGAUCUGUUUUACUCGACCUUCGAUAGUUCUUACACGACAUUUUGAACAGGCUAGAAUAGCACUGGAACGAAGGAGGUUCCUGAAAAAUGCAGAUACAGCUGUCCACAGACAGGCCAUGUGGUCAAAUUUGGCUCAUGAAAUGACAGCAGAGUUUCGUGGUCUCUGUGCUGAAGAUGUAAAGGAUAAGUCAUAAACAGUCCUGUAAUGGGCUGUGUUUCAUAGAUACAAGCUUUGUGCAUGGAUUUCUAAUAUUUUGUCUUUUUUGGUCUUUUCCCCUCUCUUUGGAACUUCUUUAUCUCAGGCCUAUUUGCAGCAAGAGCUGGAAAAAUUACAAGACUUGAGGAACAAAGUGAAGUUGGAAGGGGAACUAUGGGAUGACCUUGUGUCUACAAGCUCAAGUCAGAAUUCUCAUUUAGUUUCAAAGGCUACUUGCUUGUGGGAGUCGUUGCUAGCUCGUAAAAGUAAGUACAAAAUAUCCAGCUUCCUCUUAACAAACUUCUAUGACAAACCAUCAUAUUUGAAAUGCGCUUCCAAAUUUUGUGCUAGCUCCUGUUAAUUCCAUGUUACUCUGUUUACUCCCUCUACACACAGGUCAACAUGAAGUUCUUGCAUCAGGCCCUAUUGAGGACUUGAUAGCUCACCGGGAGCAUAGGUAAUUGCUUGUUCCAUGUCAUUUUGGAUUCUCUAAAUGACAUUUAUCCACUUUCGUGCUCAUGCAUUAUCUUUCUAUUCAGGUAUCGCAUUUCUGGGUCAUCUUUGCUUGCAGCUAUGGAUCAAAGUUCUCAGAUUCCUUAUACAGAUGUAUUAACGGUCCAACCGGGUGAUCUAGCUUCAGGUCAUUUGGAUGACAAAGAACAGACUGAUGGAUCUUAUGUCAAUGUAACUAGGGACAAACAGAAGAACAGUUUAGAUUCAUCUCAGUCACAAGUAAAUGAUGACACACUUCGUGUGGAUGAUAGAAGUGGAAGAGUCCACCCAACUGUUGAUAUAGCUGAAAUUAUCAGGCGCUGGACUCAUGCUUUACAACGUAUUCAUAAACAGUCACUUCAUCUGGUAAUGCUAUUUCUUCUCUGGUAUUAAGCUCCUUUUUUAAUUUUUAUUUUUACUAAAAAUGGUUAUUUAAAUCAUUUAUAUCCGUGAAAACUUUUAUCUUGUGGUGUGCUUUACUUGAUCAUUUCACAUGUAAAUAAGUUGCUAUAUGAUAGUGAAUUAAGAAACUCCAUCACUUUCAUUCAAUUUUUACACCUUCGUUCUUCUCAAAAUUUCUGGAGUAUGAUGUAUUGGAAUUUGACUGUUGUUUCUGGAGCAGAAAUGUGCUAACUUGAAAUGAUUGCAUUAUAUAGGCAAAAUCUAAUGAUGGAGAGGGUCCAGAGCUUCUAAGAGGUGCACGUGAUGGUGGUACAAGUGAUCAUGCUGAGUCUUUAGCGGCGACUCUUUCUGAACAUCAGCAACACUUAGCUAGCUUUCAGGUAAAUAUAAUUUUCUUUGUACAUUAUGCAUGGAAGUUCCACUUUAGAUGGUAGUCUCUCAAUUUGAUUCCAAAUUUGAUCCUUGGAUAAAUAAGUGUUUAAUGAUUAUUAUCAUAGUUGUUUAAAACUUAUGAUACACAUUACAAUGUACAUUUUUUAAGGAAAUCAGCCUGUGUCUUCAAGCUUAUCUUACGAUAUAUAUAUAAUACAGGAUAUGAUACGUGAUGUAAUGAGACAACAAUACAAACAUCUUCAAUUAUUUUCCAUGGUUUUUAAGAAAAAUCAAAAUUAAUUUUUUUUUUGUUAAAGAAUUCAUUAUAUUAAUUGAUUAAAAUGCACUAAAAGUGAAUACAUUUUUUUACUUAUUAUGUCGCUUUUAUUUUUUAAAAAAUUUCUUUUUUGGUGGGAAAGGAAUGAUGAAAAAAUUGAAAAGUUUGGAAUUCUGAAGAUAACACAAAGACAUAUAUAUAUAUAUAUAUAUUUCAAUCAAUCAACAACACAAUAAGUCCAUAUACCUAGUUAGAAUUUGGAAUGAAAAAUUGAAGAAGUUUAUUUUUGUGGAUUAUGUGAUGAAUAUGUAUAUUAAAAUUAUAUUUUGUUAAUUUGGACUUAUCAAAACUCUAAUAUUCAAUGUUUUCAUAUGAUAUGAUAUAGUUUAACUCUUUAUAUCCUACUAUCUUUCAUAAAAGUAGUUAUGUAUUACUCUAUACUUCAUACUUUCAAUAGAUAUGUACACAUAUACACGUUUUUUCUAUUUUUUUUUUCAAUAUAUGUAAAAAAACUUAUGAUAUAUGAUACAUGAUACAUUUCACAAGUUAACAACUAUGAUGAUUAGUGACACUUCUCAACUUUCAGUGCUUGGGGAGGAUGUAAAAUACCUGGUGUUUUCUGGAAGUUGCAUAUUCUAGGUUGUAGUGGUGCAUUUACCUCUAGCUAUCCUCAAUAUUGAAAUUGUCAUGACCUGUAACCAAAAAAGAAAAUGAGAGAGAGAGAGAGAGAGGAAAAAUUGAAGUAUCCAUGAUCCAGCAUUUAAUGUGGAAGGAUAAGUAUCUCUAAGGGUGUUGUGGUUCUUAUCUUGUAAAAAUAAACAGAAAGCAUCAUGCAUAAUUCAUUCUGAAGUGGUGUUAUAAAUUGGAUCGUUUCCCCCCCUUUUCUUCUCUUGAAGAGUCGGGCAGGGUAGGAAUUAAUGGCUGAGACUUUGAACUCCCAUGUUUGGUUGUGGUAGAUUCUAUCAAUUUUGUUUGCUUGGGAGUAAGAUGCCUAUCUCUUUUGCAUUUACAAAGAACUUGAAUAUGCUUUGAGGGCAGAUAUUACUAAGCACAUGGUUCAAGAAAAGAGACCUGUGCUAUGGAGCAGCGAGCAGGACAUUAGGAAUAGAAACUAAUGAGAUUAGGAAGAAAAAGAAAGGAAAGACGAAUGAGUAGAAAGGUUUAGUUUGUUCUAACUAGACUUCUAUAUACCUUCUCAUCUAUUUAUAGUAUUUACCAAGAUUGCAACAAUUCUCCUUAUAACUAUUAAAUAAAAUAACUCUUUAACAUCAUAAGAUAAAAUAAAUUCUAGCAUAGGAAAUCUUUAGCUAAACACUAAAGACUCUUAUGAACAUGAAUCUUUUAAGGCUUACCAUGUUGUAAUAUUCAAAGAGUCAAUUGUAUCCAAAGAACUAAAGUGACGUGCUUAGUUCUUGCCUUUUAUAUUUACCUCUCACCUCAAUUGAUAUUACAUUUCUAGUUUGUAGGUACAAUGCUUUUUCUGGCACUUUUAGAUGAUGUUAAAUCGGCACAUUGGCAUAGUUAUCGGUUGCAAAUUUGAAGUUGUUUCUCACAUGAAUGGUUGAUGUGUAGGUGCUAAUUAACCAACUUAAGGAAGUCGCUCCAUCAAUACAAAAGUCGAUAUCAGAAUGUUCAGAAAAAGUGAACGGUAUUUCCUCCAAUCUUCCUCCAAUGGCCAAACAUCAUGGUAGAUCAACAUCACCUAUCCAUGCUCAGAGCAGUGGAAGGACAGUGGUAAUUUUUUUGUGAGGAAAAAAAAAUUGAUAUUCUUGUUUCGACAUGUUCAACCCUGGAUAAUUGGUAAGACUAAUAGUUUUUAUUUUUAUUUUUUUUAUUUUUUAUACAGGAGAGUAGCACUGAUGAGGUUGCUGAUGUGACUUCAAAAUUGUCUACCAUUCAUCUUGAGAAGGUUUCAGCUAGUCCUCCUGCGUUAAAACUUCCACAGUUGUUUAGUUUGACACCAAAUUCUUCUGGAAAAAGUGGAAAUAUGAACAAACGUCAAGUUGUGGCUCCUCAAUCCAAUCAAGUAGAGAAUUUGUCUGACAGGAAGUCUCUGGAUCAACCUCUGUCAAACAAUCACUUGAAUGAUCCACCACAAGGUUUGCCUCAUUCUACUGUACUUCCUAGUCCCUACAUUGUAUCCUUCCCCAUAUAUAGGCUUAGUGCCCUACCUAAUGAAUAUUCAUCUUCCAGUUAAAUAGACUGGUCUUUAAUUUGUUUAAUAAUAAGAUUUUAAUUCUAAAUUUCAUGUCCCAGCAGACAGUGACAUUUCUUAUGUCCAGAACCUAAAGAGAUCUGUCAGAGAAGCAGCUCUGUCUAUGCAAACCUGCAAUGUGGAAUCAUCACGAGAUAGUCACUCUGAUGAUAGCUCCGAACACUUCUUUGUACCUCUUUCUGGGACAGGGUUCUCUCGACUGGGCCCAGAAAACAAAGCUGUUUCAGUAAGAAAUAAACAUUUGUUUGUACCUCAAGCAGACGCUUCCUUGCUUGAGAAUCAUGUACCUGAGGAUCUUGUUGGGAGAAAGUUUGCUGAAUUACCAAAUAUGUUGAAUGAUCUGGAUUCUCUUCAUGAGUAUGAUCAUGUAAAUGGGUUUCUCUCCGCUGCUAGUCCAAUUUAUGCAGCCACUGAUGCACAAAGGCCCUUUUAUGACAUUGAGGAAACUCAGGAUAUCUUCUCACCCCCUUUGCUGAUGGACUCAUCACUGUUAGCUGAUUCUUAUGAAGACUUACUCGGUAUGUCCUGGCCCAAACUAUUCUGAUGUUUUAGGCAUCCAUAUGUUUAGUUUCUUAUCAAUGUGUUAUGUCUCUUUUUGAUGCUUUUCUUCUCAGUGCAAAAUAUGUGAUACUUGGAACUUCUUUGAUGCUUCAUUUCUUUGAAAACAAUGUCAAGUGCCAUUGUAGUGUAGAAUGAGAUUGUCAGAGCUUCAAACCAAAAUAUGGAUUCUAAAGUACUAGCUGAACAUGUUUCAUGUUAGGAUCAUUGAGUGCUUUUCUCAAGCACUUGUCUAACCCAAAGUAAUUAUUUUCAGAAGAUUUUUGAAAUUUCUGAUAUGAGGAUUUCCUCCAGUUUUCUUAAAUAGUUUUAUAUUAUUGUAGAUUCAAGGCAGAAUUCAGAUGCUCUAAACUCAUUGUAGUUCCCUUUUUUUUUUUAUGUCUCUUUCUCUUUGUUGGAUAGAUUAAACAAAGUCAUCAUAUGAUUGACCAUUGAGACCUUAUUGGGGACCAUAUAUUUCUCGUGGGUCCUCAGCCCUGCUUCCAAGUGGUUGAUCAAAAAUGAGGUGUUCACGGGGAUCUAAAUACUUAAAAGUUUUUGGUCUUUCUUUCCUCCUCUAUGUGCUGGAAGUAAACAAGUGGAGGAAUUUUUAUUGGUUGUUUUAGAGUUGAUCAUAUACCGUUGCUGUUGUCUAAUAGAUGCAGCGUCUACAAAUAGCUACUUUAAUUGUAAAUUCAAAAAUUGUUCUUUAGUGCACUUUUCCCCUUUCGUGUUUUCAUCUUGAAAAUUCAUUUGGUUCUCUUGCAGCACCAUUGUCUGAAACUGAAACUGCCUUGAUGGAGCACUGAAAUCUAUCUGGACAAUCUCCUUGUUGUGUUCUUCAGAAGAUGAUUGGAUCACUUCAAUGGUUUUGUAUUCACUCCUCAAGUAAGGCUGGCUUUCGAGCCCAAGCUCCUUUACUAGGUUGGGGUUGGGAUUUUCUUCCCUCCUAUAAUUUUUGUAUGACCUGGUGUGCUUGUAUGAUUUCUUUCUUCUCUCUACCUGUUUGUAUACUUCUGCCUUCUAUGGCACCUUUGAUAUUCUGUCCUUCGCUGGGACCUAAGAACCGAUUGGCUGUGUUACUGUACAUACUGGGCAGAUGCUCGGAAUCAGAAAUCAUCUCAUCAUUCACCACUGCCCAACCUGGACAUUGAAGAUCAGAAUCCACAGCCCGAGCAGAUAAUCGCAGCCCAGUCAAAAUCCUUCUGAAGACUAUGCCCCUGGAUGUUACCCAAAGGUGGCUAAAGAGUGACAUAUAUGGCAAGUCUCGCAGGUGCACAUUGCUGAGAGACCAUGGCCCUCUUUUAAGGAUUUUAUUUUGGUUCACUGUCAAGAUUGAUUGUUGACAAACUAAUUUUUAUGUAUUUGAUAGAUGUAUUGCUUGGGAUUUGAUCAUAUGCCUGUUGGGGAUGGAUUAGGAAUGAGAAACCAUCGAGUGGGCUUUUGGACUACUCUUUAUUCAUAUUUCCAUAUUGUUGUAACCCUUCCAUUUAUUUGUUGAACUAUAUAUUGAGGUAAUUUCAAGGUUGCUGAUUUUAAUUUCCAUACCUUUCUGAGAUGACAGUGGCAGUUGCACCUUUCAACUACUCCUCCUUUUUGUAAUUUAUUUUCUGAAUCAUGCCUGUAAAAUUGAUUGUUGGACAAUCGCGUAUGCGUGUGCGUGUGUGUAUGUGUGUUAGAUUCUCAUUCCAUGAACCUCCACAAAGUCAACUCCAAAUAUUUGCAAGAAAAGUCCAUAGAGGUUGCAGGAGGAGUGGAAUCUGUGCUGUACAGCUCUGCUUGUCCAAUUCGACUGUCUGUUUAGCUUUGGCCCAUUGCGCUAUUUUUGGAUUUGACCGUUCCCUUGGAUUUCAUGGAGUCGACUUCAGUCUCCACCCUCCGUUCCAUCCUUAAUCAAUAAUCAUGAGAAGUCAUUGGCUCGUCUGUCGUAGUUUUGACUCAUGAAUUUCAAAUUUAUCACGCUUUUUGAGCAGCACAGAGCCCAAAAUCACACGGCCCAAAGUAAGGUGGGAAUUCUUAUGAAUUAUGAAGUUUGGGCCUGGGCCGGCCCAUGUCCACCGUACACCUAGUUUGACUCUCCUUAUCAAAAACAAUAACGAAGGAAAGGGACACCAUUUUUUAAUUGGCCGGAGGGAAGAUGCAGACCUUUGAAAGUGAGGAGAUAAUAGGGAAUCCCUGGAGUGUUGACAUUGUAAAGCGAAAUAAAAACACCAAUAGCGCCCACUGUGGCCACUGAUAGAUCUUAGAAGAUGAUAAUGAUGAUGAUCCAUCUUAUACUGUCAUCCAUUGGAUGAAUUUCAAGCUCCAACCCUAGUAAAUGCGUCGCAACCAACCUCAUAAAACCCUUUUAAGCAAUCUAUAUAUAAUUAAUUAAUUAAUUAAUCAUUAAUUUCAUUAUCUGCUUUUAUAAGGCUCCCAUCCCCUUUUGAUUAUUUCUUUGUCACCAUCUCCUUUUCACCCGAAAGCUUGCUUACCCGAGCUUUUUAUUUUAUUUUAUUUUAUUUUUAUUUUAUUUUUAAAGAGGAAAAAUAUUAAAAAAAAAAAAGACAAUUUGAGUGUGGAGUUGACAAAUGUCGAAACAAAACCUCAGAAAAUACGGGUAUAUUUUACCGACAUAAGAUAAUCACUCCAAAACAAUCAUCGAUGAUGAAUUGGAAUUCAAGGUUUUCAUGAUUUUUACGACUUGGGAUUUACUCAAAAGACUUUUGAUUCCUGCAACACUUGUUACCAACCUUCUUCCUUAAAAAUCUAUCAUCAAAAUUCAGGGAUUAGGAGAUAGAGGACUGCAACGCGCCUCCAGGGCAAGUGGGGUCUUGUCCCAGUUGUAGCAGAGAGGAGAGCAGAGAUGGGGUUAGAGUUUGAAGCUUCAAGGACAACAGUGCAACUGGGCAGACAUGGGGGACAUGUUUCCACAUGAUAGGACUCUGUCCACGCGCUUUUGAAGGAGAUUGGGGUUUGGGGUUGGUGUUCUUUUCUAAGUGGUUUCCAGUUUCAACCCUUUAUCUUUUUAUCUCAGAGGCAUUGUGGACAUGGAUUUUACGUGGAUUCGAGGGUUGUUUUGGGCAAGAUAUUUCUCUCUGUCAAUCUCUCCAUCUGGAGAAGCCCAAAAAGGAAGAAUCAACAGUGGUGUAGUGAGAGGUAGAAAUUCCUGAGAAAGGUAGAGAAAAAAAAAAAGAAACAAAAGCAUAGAAAGAAAAUGGAAAAGAAAAUAAUGGCUACAAUAAUUCUGGGGAACCAAAGACACCAACACCAUCAACAACAGCCAGAGAUUGUUGUUUCCUGACCUUUUUUUUUUUUUCCUUAUUGGGUUCAGAUCAUUGACCCAGACCAUAAAGAAAAAGGAACAGCUGCGAGCUUUCUCUUUCUCUGUAAGUAUGGAUGGCACUUAUCUCCUCUUUAUUCCCUCUCCUUAUCUCUUCCUUUGCAUGCAUCGAUGAAUGUUAAGUUUAAUGUUGUUUCUACUUUCUCUUUGCUUUUUUGGUUUUGGAACUUUGUAGGUUGGUCUCGAUGAAGAAUGCUAUCUGGGUUUCGUAGAUCAUGCCCAGAUCUUAUCGUCUUUUGAUCCAGCUGAAUAGGUUAUGAAUCUUGGUGAAACUGAAGAAAAGAGAAAGAGGUGAAUAUACAUCUGAACUUUUCCCUUCUAUGUGGAAGAACAAAGAAAAGUCAUAAUUUUCCAGAGUUUAAUCUUAGUAAUUUCGAAAAUUGCUGGGAUGGUUUGAUUUCAACUUGGUUUCUGCAUCUGGGUCUGUCAAUACAUGUCAAAAAGGAAAUAUUUUUUCUUUUCUUCUGUGUGUGAAAAAAGAGGGCAUCAUGAGUUUUUCUUUAGGAACAGAAAAUCAUGGUAUUAGGGUUGUUGUUCAGUUAAUUGAUUUGAAAUUCAAUGUUUUGUGGAGUAUCUAGGUUGGAAUGGCUUUCUGAUCCCAUAUUUCUUUUGAUGUGAAGCGGGUUUGAAUUUUCAUCUGACUAGGGGAAUUUGCCCACUUGGAUUGGUACAACUCUAGAUGCAAGAAAAGCAUGGGGAUUCUCAAUCGGGGACAAGAGAAACUUAUUGGUGGACUAAUUCUCUGAAGGCUGCUAAAAUCUGGUUGAAAUUGGUUUAAUGCCCUUGAUUAUUACUUCUCCAACUGAAGUUAUAUCCUCUCGUUCUUACUGAUGCUUUAUUUUUUGCUCUAAAGAAGCUUUGGUCUGUGUUGGGUUCUUGAGUUCAUGAGAAGGAGCUGUUGAUUUGACAUUUAAGUUAUGAUAAAAAAUAUACUUAAUAGGCUCCCAAGGAAGCCAUCUAAAUCAGCUGAGAAUCGGGAUGGAGGUGGGGCUUCUAUCUCCUCCUCAAAUGCUUCUACCAGUUCAAGAAGUAAUGAUUUAGUAAAUAACAGGUUUGGGAACUUUAAUGCUACAUCUCUUUCAGGCGCAAACCCCACAUCAAAUUCAGGACCCAAUUAUGGAAAUAAGAUCCCCCAAGCUGUGAAUAUGAAGUUAAAUGGGAAUUCGGCGGCAGCUUCAUAUGAGGCCUUGCCAAGUUUUCGAGAUGUUCCAAACUCUGAGAAGCAGACCCUGUUUAUCAGAAAGCUGAGCUUGUGUUGUGUGGUGUUUGACUUCACUGACCCAACAAAGAACCUGAAGGAAAAGGAGAUCAAGCGACAGACUUUGGUAGAGCUUGUGGAUUAUGUGACCUCAGCAAAUGGGAAAUUCACAGAAAAUGUCAUGCAAGAAAUCAUAAAGAUGGUAUCUGUAAAUUUGUUUAGGACGCUCACUUCUCCACCCCGUGAGAACAAAGUUUUAGAGGCCUUUGAUUUGGAAGAGGAGGAGCCUUCAAUGGACCCUGCAUGGUCUCACUUGCAAAUUGUGUAUGAAUUUCUUCUGAGGUUUGUGGCAUCACCUGAGACAGAUGCAAAGUUAGCUAAGAGGUACAUUGAUCACUCUUUUGUUCUCAGACUCUUAGAUCUAUUUGAUUCAGAGGAUCCUAGAGAAAGAGAAUACUUGAAAACUGUUCUACACCGCAUCUAUGGAAAAUUUAUGGUCCACCGACCAUUCAUCAGGAAAGCAAUCAACAACAUCUUUUAUCGUUUUAUUUUUGAAACUGAGAAGCACAAUGGAAUUGCAGAGCUGUUGGAGAUUUUGGGCAGUAUAAUCAAUGGGUUUGCGCUACCACUGAAAGAAGAGCACAAACUCUUUCUUGUUCGAGCACUAAUUCCGCUGCAUAAGCCAAAAUGCAUUCCCAUGUACCAUCAGCAGUUAUCUUACUGCAUCACACAAUUUGUGGAGAAAGACUGCAAGCUUGCUGAUACUGUUAUAAGGGGUUUAUUAAAGUAUUGGCCAAUUACAAAUAGUUCAAAGGAGGUCAUGUUCUUAGGUGAGUUGGAAGAAGUUUUAGAAGCAACUCAACCUCCAGAAUUCCAACGCUGUAUGGUACCCUUGUUCCGCCAGAUUGGUCGUUGUUUGAGCAGUUCACAUUUUCAGGUAGGCAGUUUUACUAGUUUUAUUAGGUUAUUUUACUGCUGCUUUCAUCUCUUGCUUUUUCUUUUGAGAGUUUAUGAAGCAGAAAUUUGCUUCCACUGUGAAGUUAGUAAUGAAUCUUGGAGCCUGAAUGUUUCACAUUAAUCUGGAGGAAUCGCCCUAGAUGGUGUUUCUUCCAUCUAACUGAAUGUUAAAAUCUACUUGGUCUUUUGUCAUUGUGAUGUAGAAUCUUAUAACAAUUUAAACUUUUGCAUUGUAAUAAGUGAUAAUCUGAGGUUAUCCAUUAAAAAAAGAAGUGAUAAUCUGAGGUGUGUUUAAUAGGUUAUGAGGAAUGAUAAAACUAGAAGUAAAACAUCACAAAAUCAAAUCUACACAAAUUCUGUUCUAUAUACUCUUGAAGGUAAUUGGUGCCAUUAACUAAUAAAUACUCAAAUUCUAAUCCUUGACAUACCGUGUAUGAAAGCCUGGCAUAUAUUAUUGAUCUCUUUGAAUUCCUAUAAACUAAAACACACUUUCAUUCUUAGCUAGCCCCACCAAAUAGGAAUAGAUACUAACAUAUAUAUCUUUGUUGCCUUCUCUCUCUCUCUCUCAUUCCCCUUCUGUUUGGCGACAUGGGUCUAUCCCACUGUUCUAUCUUUCUACUUCAACCACAUUGUGGUACUCAAUCAAGGAUAUAAUAGGUACUGAAAGUUGUUUUCAUUGCAUUAGCAUAUUUAGGUUUGUAAUGUGUGAUUUUUAAUGAGGUUUGAUGGUUAUGGAUUUGGUUGCAUGUUAAGUGAAAUUGGGUUCAGUUAUGUCUGAAGUAAAUGGUGUUACUGCAUGCUUUGCGCCUACCUAGGUGCUUUUAAUACAAUUGUUUUUUUACCUAUCAAAAAAAAAAGAAAAAAGGAUGAUACUGCAUGCACGUGGGGACUUCUUCGAUGGCUUUUAAACUGCAUAAACUGAACUUCCUUUUUCCUUUGUAAACCCUUAUUGCAAAUUGUAGCUGAUAUAUUUUCUUGUGCUAUUUGUUGGCUCUAGUUUUGUAUGUUAUGAGAAUUGCAAAAAUCAUGGUUGUUAGGAAUAUUAGGAGUAAGGCUUCAAAAAGUUUGACUUUUCAUUUUUUUGAUGUUAUGGUACCAUGAUAAUGUGUAGAUUUCCCAAACAGAAUAGGCUGCUGAACCUUUAUUGGUUGUAUUUCAUGCUGGGGAAUUUGUCUAAAUUGGAUAUUGAUAAUUGGUUUCUUCAGAUGAAAAUUCAGCAUGCCAAUUGCAUGCUUUGUAUGUGUUGUCCUGAACUAGCUAAUAUGGCUUAGCCAUCUCUAACAAGAUACAUUAUGAUGAUUAAAUCCAUCAGUUGUAUCAAGUUACUUCGAUGCAUUAUUUGAUUCUUGUGUGAGUGGGUCAACCAAAUUCUUGAGCCUGCAGUAUGAGCCAAUCUUAAAUUGGUUAUACUGGAAUGUAUUCAAAUGUUUAUUCUAUUCUCAAUUCUGCCACGAGUGGACCUAAUAUUGGCAUCACUCAAAUAGCUUAUCAUGUUGAACUACAAUAAAAGUGAUGUUAGGUGAGAGAUGAGGUGCAUCAUUCUGCAUGGAAACUUACUGAACAUAAGGCCAGAGGAGGUCAGAUUGAUGUAACAAAUUUGUAGGCAGGUCAACUUACGUAAAAUUAAGUGAGAUUUUAUUUUACUUGUUAGGGCGGGCAAUUCAUAUGGAUAUAUUACUUGAUGACAAAGAAAACUUUUGUCCUUUUUGAUGAAUUGUGGGCCCUGGAUUGUGCUCCUCUUCAGCCUUACUUUUGUGCAAAAAGAAUAUAACCACCAGUGGUCAAACAUCUAUCAUAUGGAUUGUCAUCUCAGUUAGCACCAGAGAAGGCAUGUAAAGGAGAGGCUGGAAUGGGAUGAAAUUGAAGUCUUUGGUGAAUGUUUCUUUUGACAGUGAAGAAUGCGUUACACUAUUUUGAACUGCAUCUAAAUUGGAGAAUGAAUUGGAAAACCUACUUAACCACAUAGUAGAUAUCAUGAUAAUAUACUGAGGAGCAUACCUAAUGCCUUGCUAGAAAAUAACAGCAGAAAAAGGUUCAUUUUUUAUUUUUUUUGAUGGGUAAGCAGUAACCAUGUAAUCAACAUCUUGAAACUUGUAAAUUCACGAUCAUGACCAUACAUCUUACAAAUUUUGAACUUUAGCGAGGCGAGGCUUGGCAUCAAAAUUAUGGUCGUGGUCGAAAUUAUAGUUUCUUUACUUGGAAAACAUUUUAGGGAAGGAUUUCUCUUUGGUAGGCCUCUAUAACAUAACAAGAAAAUAAUGGAGAUGACCAAGGUUCCUCACAUCAAAAUGUGCUCUAAGAUAAGAAAUCAGGCAUCAAUACAGGAGUUAUCUCUUUUGUGAUGAUAUAUUCUCCCACAGAGGAGGCAAAUGCAUCCAACACUAGUAUGUUGAAUGACUUGAAUCGGGUUUUUAUUCCUUUCCGUAGAUCUACGACCAACCUUCUUUUUGCGAUCAGCCUAAUCUACAACCACUCUGAUCAAUGCUGCUAUCAUCAUUCAUAGCCAAAGGUUCUGCUUCCAAGCUAGCAGCAGACUGAACCAAUUGAUCCUCGUUUGAGUUUUCAUUGGGAGCAUCUAAAACAAUGAAUCUGUUUGCUGUAGUAACAACAUUCUUCUUUUUCUUUGCUUUGACUCCAGCUGUCUCAACCUUUGAAGCUGCCUUGGGCUUUGAGUUGAGCACUUCUUGCUAAGGUGCAUUUCUAGGUCAUGUGCCUUGGUGCAUAAGUCAUUCAAAUCAUCAAAGGUUUGAGGCAUGAGAUGUACUGAGAGUUCAUGCCUCAAAGGUACAUUCGGACCCUUUCGGCCUGCUAUGUCCUUUCUUUAUGCCCCUACCAGGGAGGGGAGGAAGUGGCAGGUACUCCAGGGCCAGGGAAAGAUGGGGUAACCUUUUACGGACACCUGAAAGGAAGGGCUUGCCAUCUUGCGAUAAAGUCAGACACAAAAUCAUUAUAAGUGACAUUGGCUUUCCUUUGAAAGCUUGAUCACUUGAGAUGGAGUUGAAAUGGGAAAACUAGGCACCUAUCAAAAAAAGAAAUGGGAAAACUAGUCAAUUGGGGCGUGCUUGUGGAUACGUCUUUCUUUCUUUAUUCAUUUUUUUAAAGAUUAUUUAUAAGAGAAUAUAUGUUGAAAUGGGAAAAACCAUGUAGCUGGAACUUGUCUAAGGCCAUAUGCAAUUCUAUUUAUUUUUUAAUUUUUUAAUUUUAUUUAUCGGUAAGAAAAAAUAUAUUAAGAAUCUCCAAAAUAGGCAUGACCUAUGUUCAUGGGAUGUGCACAUGCAAUUCCUAGAGCUGGAAAGCAUGAUUAGGCUAUAGGGAAUCUUGAAGUGCUAUUAAGAAGAAGAGAAUCGAUCUCCUCUUGCAUGCUAAGAUGCCAUUAUGGUUAUUUAGAAGCUUGAGAAUAAAAGGCAAGAUCUGGAGGAAAUUGUGAAGCUAAAAAGAAAAGUGAUAGGAGGAUAGACAAUCUUUACUAGCAAGAAAUAGAUAUUUAUGUUUAUGAAUUCCAUCUUGAAGACCAGUGACCAUAGGAUGAGUGGAAUGGUGGUUGAUGGGAUAAGAGGUGUUGGAAAAGGGAACAAUUGGAUGGUAGCUUGGAACGAAUUGGCAAGGGAGAGCAUGAAGAUGGGUGAGAGAGGAAGAGAGAGAGAAUGGGUUAGAGGGGUUGGGGAGAGGAGCAAGCCAACUGAUAGCAAUAGAUGGAAGAAUUAGGGUUGCAUAAGUGGAGUGGUAAAAGGAAAUGAUCCCUUUGAAAAUUAUGUUAAGAAAAUGGGGGUUUUGCUUGAUAUAGGAUCAUGACAUUCAUGGCAUUGAUGUUGGACAUCAUAGCUGGGAAGAAUAAGUUGGUGUGUAUGGGCCUUAAGUUUGCUUGUUGCUAGAAGCCCAAUGAGAAUAACAAGUACAACCAAGUGCAUGCAAAGGUGGAGACAAGUGAAACCUUAAACAUCACAUAGGGGAACUUACCUUUGGGAAUAGAAGGAGCAUUCUUAAUGUGAUUAAAACUAGGCAAAAAAGGUUCAACCCUCAAGUUAUUAGGAAGUUGGGCUUGAUAAAGAAGAACCGAUUUUGACAAUGUAUUGGUGGUUUGUACAGUCAUAUACUGGUAGCAAAACUAUAGACCCUCAAUAAUGAUUUAAAAAUGUGAAAUAAAGAGGUCUUUGACAAUGUCACAACUAAAAAAUUGAGGCCCUAAAUCAUAUUGGUUUAUGGUAUUUAAAGGAAAGAGAAGUAGUCUCACUGUUGAAGAGUCUAAGGCUAGAAGGUUGGCAAUGCUUGAGUUUAGCAAGUGGGACGAAGCAAUGUGGAAGCAGAAAUUGAGAGAAAUCUGGUUAAAAGAGGGGGAUAAAAGUACCAACUUCUUCCAUAAAAUGGUCCAUGCACCAAGAAGGAGAAACUUUUUGUCCAAAGUUAGAAUGAAUAAGGAUUGAUUGAUGAAGGAAGGGGUGUUGAGGGCUUUCCCAAAUCUCCAAAUGAGGAUUGGAGACCCAACAUUAAUGGGAUGGCCUUUGAAGUAUUGGGAGUGAUGAUCUAAGAACUUGAAGGUUUAUUUUUUUGAGUGGAAAGAUUUUGUUACCUUGUUUGGUUUAGGUGGAGAAAAGGCUUUAAGGUUAGAUGGUUUCACUAUGGUGUUUUGGAGGAUGAGUUGGUAGUUGGACUUUGUAAAAUUUGAGGUGAUGGGCUUCUUGAGGGAGUUUUUUUUCUAUAACAACUCUUUUCAGAGAAGUGUAUAUGCUACUUUCUUGGUCUUAAUUCCUAAGAAAGGUGGAGAUAAGGACUUGGACAAAUUUCAGACCCAUUAGCUUAGUUGGAGGGUUGUAUAAGCUUUUGACUAAAGUUUUAGCUAAUUGGAGAAAAAAAGUGUUGGGUGAGCUGGUUUUAGUUUACCAAUAAGCUUUCAUGGAGGGCAGACAAAUUUUGGAUGCAGUCCUCAUUGCAAAUGAAUUCAAGGCUAAAGAGCACCAAUUUCUAUGCUGAAAUUCUCUAUUCUAGUCAACGAAUUUUGUCCGGUUUUUCCUAGAGCUCCAAGAGUUUGAAGCAGAGAGACCCUCUUUCCUCUUAUUUAUUUGUUUUGGCAAUGGAGGCACUAAGUUUGGGAGGGGGGGGAAGAAGGGAUUUCAUCUCGGGAUUCAAAGUGGACUUUGGGAGGAAGAGGUGAGGGGAGAAUGGAAGUGUCACAUUUGUUGUUCCUUGACAAUACCCUAAUUCUUUUUUAUGCUAACCAACAACAUUUAGAGUAUUUAAAUUGGGUCUUCAUAUGGUUUGAGCUUAUUUCUAGUUUAAAGAGAAAGCUAGCCUUAUGGAAGGGGCAAUACUUGUCAUAAGAAGGAAUAGGUACCUUGAUGAAGAGCACAUUGUCAAGUUUGCCAAUUUAUUUUAUAUUUGUAUUUGCCAUUUUGAGAAGGGUGGGCUUAAGAUUGAAACAAAUCCAACUUGUUUUGUGUGUAAUCUUUGGGUGUGGUCCAAUUUGUUUAUAGCUCUUGGCCCUUCUUUUAUUGAAGAUUUUGUGAAUUGGAUAGGGUCUUGUUGAGGGUGCCGUUUUUGUUGUCCCUCUUUGAUUUUUUGGUGGCGUCUUGGGUGCCCAUUGUAUACUCCUUGUGUACUUUAGGGGUGCUUUUUUGGCCUUUCUCUUAUUAAUAUACGUUCUCUUUACCUACCAAAAAAUAAAAAAAGGGAUUAAAGCAGAUCCAAAGGGGGUUUCCUUUGGGAUAAGGCGCUUGGGAAAAGCCUCAUUCACUUAAGUGUCUACCAUUCGUUUGGACAAAAGGAAGGGAGAGCUUGGCAAAAAAAAAAUCUCCAUACUCUUAAUAAGGCUCUUCUUAGCAAAUGGAGUUGAAGAUUUGCUUCCUAGGGAGUCCCUUUGGAAAUAGGUCAAAAUAGGGGAGUUUGGGAUAAAAGAAGGGGAAUGGUGCUUGAGGGUGGUUAGGGAUGGUUAUGGAGUAGGGUUGUAAAGGGCUAUUAGAAUCGGGUGGGAAGUUUUUAGAAGUAGAGCUUGAUUUAUUGUGCAUAAUAUCAGAAAGGUAAAAUUCUAGAAGGAUAGAUGAUGCAAAAGAAGUUCUUUGGAAGAGUCAUUUCAAAUGUUAUUUUCUAUAACCAUUGACAAAGACUCUUGGGUAGCAGAGAUGUGAGAGUAGGUUGGGGAGGGGGUCUUAUGGAGUCCCCCUUUUUCACAGACUAUUCCUUGACCGAUUGAAAGGAGUGGGGAAGUCUUUUUUCAUAGACUUCAAUUGACCUCAAUUAGAAGGGAUGGGAAGGACAUAUUUAUAUGGAGGGAAAUCAUGAGUGGGAAAUUCUCGAUCAAAUCUUUCUAAGCAUCCUUAGCCCAAGGAUGAAGUGAGCCUUUCCUUGCAUGCAUAGUAUGGAACCCAUGAGUGUCAACGAAGGUGCGUUUCUUCACUUGGGAAGUUGUUUAUGGAAUGAUUUUAACACUUGAUCAGCUCAGGAGGGGAUUCAGUAUUCCGAAUAGAUGCUACAUGUGUAAAGAGGAUGAAGAGUCAAGCCAAUUUCUCUUCCAUUGCUCCAAAGCGAAAAUCCUGUGGCAGCUUUUUAUUUAUUUAUUUAUUUAUUAUCUAUUUGGAGUGGUCUAGGUGAUGCACUCUUCUAUAAAAGACAAUCUUCUGAGUUGACAUGGUUCUUUUGUGAGGAAGAAGAGGAAGAAAGCUUGGAGGACCGCUCCUUUAUUAUAGAAGAAAAGAAAUAGAAGGUCAUUUGAAGAUGUAGAAUAGUCAGGUCAAGUGAUCAAAUCUUUCUUUAUGUGCAUCUUUUUGAACUGGGUUAGAGUGUGCAUAGACAGUCCUUCUAUGACAAUGAUAGGCUUUGUAGAUUGGUUGAACUCAAAGUAAGGAGAAGAAGGUUGUUUUUUGUUUUCUCUAUUCCUAUUUGCUUGUCUACUCAGCUCAAUUUGUAUACAUCAUGCGUUCCUUGCUAGGUUCUUUUCAGCCUCUUUUAAUAUAUUUUCUUGUUUGCCUAUAAAAAAGUUGUAUUGGCGCUUUUCUUCAACAAUCCCAUUUUUUUUUUUAAUGGAAUGCAGGCAUGAAAUUAAACAGAAAGUACCAUGAUGAUCUAAUAGUGCAAGUUGUGUUUUCCCUCUUUCCUAUUUUUUUGCUAAGUUCACUUUGUAUAUGUCCUGUGUUCUUUUGUGCGCUUUUAAAGCUUAUUAAUACAUUCCCUUAUCAAAAAAAAAAAAAAAAGUUGAUGAUCUAAUAGUGCAACAAAGAUAAGCUGUUUUUUUUUUUUGAUUAGUGCGCGCAAAUAUAUUAAAAGAGGCAAAAAGCCACAAGGCAUACAGGACGUAUACACAGUAGCCAAACCAACAACCAACACUCACCACCCCUUAAGGAGUAGCGAGCCAUUCCAAAAAACCUAUAAGCGAAGAGGACUCCUCUCCCAUAUACACCCUAGCCCAACUCCACAAGUUACAAACAAAAGAAUUCUUUAGCUUCUGAAUAGCUAGAGAGCCCCCCCUAAACGCUAAUCUAUUUCUCUCCUUCCAAACCGUCCAAAAAAUACACAACGGAAUGGAAGUCCAAAUCCUUUUCCUCUUUCUCCCCACAAAAGGGCCCCUCCAACUGACUAGCAUAUCUUUGACUUUCUCUGGGAACACCCAAUUAGCCCCAAACAAGGCCANNNNNNNNNNNNNNNNNAGCUUGUCCAAAGUUAAAACUUUCUCCCAAGACGCCUCCCAAGCAAAAAAACCAACUUUGGUUGGAACCUUAUCCACCCAAAUGCCCUUUUUCGGGAAGCUAAUGACAUUAGACCCUGCCAAAAGCUUGUAGGCAUCUUUAAUCCGAAAGAGGCCAUGACUCUCUCCUUUCCAAAUCACUGCAUCCUCUUCAAGAGAAGUCCUCAAAUCCCUUAACAACUGCAGCAGCUCUCCAAAAACGUCCAGCUCCCAAUCAUUAAGGUUUCUGGAGAGUCUUAUAUUCCAACCUCCUUGGCCGAGGCUAGAAUCCCACAUCUCAUUUACCGAGGCGUUCCUUUGGACUGCCAAUUCAAACAACUGGGGAAAAGUUUGGGCCAGCUCCUCAUUACCACACCAAUGGUCAGUCCAGAAACUCACCUUAGUCCCCUUUCCCACUUUGAAUUCAAUAUUAUCCCAACACCAAGACGACUCCUUCAAGAUAUCCCUCCAAACCCCCACCCCAAACGUUCCGCGGGCCUCCUUUGUUCUCCAACCAAAACCCAACCAACCAUACUUCACCCCAACCACCUUUCUCCAGAAGAAGUCUUCCUCAAUGGCGAACCGCCAAAUCCAUUUCCCCAAUAGAGCCUUAUUCAAAAGAUCAAUUUUCCGAAUACCUAGGCCCCCACUCUCCUUAUGGGUACACACCACCGCCCAGUUGAUAAGAUGAAUCUUUCUUUCCAAACUUCCCCCUCCCCAAAGAAAGUCCCUUUGAAGCUUUUCAAGCCUUUUAACAACCAGCUUAGGCAUGCGAAAAAGAGACAAUUGGUAAAUCGGCAUGCUGGCCAAAGUGCUUUUGAUGAGGGUAAUCCUCCCACCCUUUGACAAAUAUUGUCUUUUCCACAGUGCAAGCCUUCUUCUCAUUCUUGCUUCAACCCCAUCCCACAUAGCCAUGGCCUUGUGCUUGGCUCCCAAAGGCAGCCCCAAAUAAACCGAAGGGAGGGUCCCCACUUUACACCCUAACUCCACCGCCAACAUCUCAAUGUCUUCCACCUCUCCAACCGGGAUUACUUAACUUUUAGCAAGAUUUAUUCUAAGACCAGAGGCUGCCUCAAACCAUACCAAAAUCCAGCUUAGGUAAGUAAUGUGAUCUUGCCUUGCUUCACAAAAAAUAAUCGUAUUAUCAGCAAAAAGUAAAUGGGACACAUUUAUCUCCAUUCCCCCCCUCCCUUGGAUGCUACAACCUGAAGUGAAGCCCCCAUCAACAGCCCUUCUCAACAUAGCGCUUAGAACUUCCAUGCCCAGCACAAAAAGGUAGGGGGAGAGUGGAUCACCUUGGCGUAACCCCNNNNNNNNNNNNNNNNNNNNNNNNNNNNNNNNNNNNNNNNNNNNNNNNNNNNNNNNNNNNNNNNNNNNNNNNNNNNNNNNNNNNNNNNNNNNNNNNNNNNNNNNNNNNNNNNNNNNNNNNNNNNNNNNNNNNNNNNNNNNNNNNNNNNNNNNNNNNNNNNNNNNNNNNNNNNNNNNNNNNNNNNNNNNNNNNNNNNNNNNNNNNNNNNNNNNNNNNNNNNNNNNNNNNNNNNNNNNNNNNNNNNNNNNNNNNNNNNNNNNNNNNNNNNNNNNNNNNNNNNNNNNNNNNNNNNNNNNNNNNNNNNNNNNNNNNNNNNNNNNNNNNNNNNNNNNNNNNNNNNNNNNNNNNNNNNNNNNNNNNNNNNNNNNNNNNNNNNNNNNNNNNNNNNNNNNNNNNNNNNNNNNNNNNNNNNNNNNNNNNNNNNNNNNNNNNNNNNNNNNNNNNNNNNNNNNNNNNNNNNNNNNNNNNNNNNNNNNNNNNNNNNNNNNNNNNNNNNNNNNCCCCCAAGCAGGCUGAUGGGUCUGAAAUCCCCCAAGUCCUCAGCCCCNCCUUUCUUAGGAAUGAGGACAAGAAAAGUAGAGUUAAGGCUCUUGGCAAACGACUUGUCUUCAUAAAACUCCUUGAACACGUCCACAAUUUCCUCUUUCACGAACUCCCAACAGAACCGCCAAAAGGCCACUGUGAACCCAUCCGGGCCUGGGGCCUUAUCACCAUUCAUCCCCAUCAGAGCCAAAUGAAUCUCUGCCUCAGUAAAUGGCUGCUCCAAACCUUCAGCUUCAGCAUGGUUUAAACUUUUAAGCUGCAGCCCUUCUAUAUCAGAUUUCCAUGAUUGGUCCUCUGACAACAACUGUUGAAAGGCAUUCACAACCCCCUCUCUCACCUCCCUCUCCUCCUCCAGCCACCUCCCAUUGAUUUUAAUCUUGUCCAUAGAGUUAUUUCUUCUAUGAGCAUUAGCCAUCCGGUGAAAGAAACCCGUAUUCUUAUCACCUUCCCUCAGCCACAACUCCCUAGAAGAUUGUCUCCAAUGCGUUUCUUCCAUAAGAACCCAAUUUUUGAAGGCCUCCUUAGCCUCUGUUUUCAGCUCUGACUCCCUUUCAGUUAGACUCUUGUCACUCUCCACCCUAUCCCAAAAUGCUACUUGUUGCAAGGCUAGAUUUUUGUUGACUUCUAACCUACCAAACACAUCCCUGUUCCAAGAUUUGAUUUUAUCCUUCAGAAACUUCAAUUUUGAAGCCACUCUGAAACUAGCCCUCCCCCUCCCCCCUGCCUCCUGCCACCAACCCCGAAGGAGAUCCUUAAACCCCUCAACUUUGAGCCACAUGUUUUCAAACCUAAAAGGGGAGGGGCCCUUUCUUACCCCCUCACCUUUCAGUAAAAUGGGGAAAUGGUCAGAAACGGGUCUAGGCAGCCUGCACUGAAGGACCCCACUGAAACAGUCCAGCCAAUCUUGGGUCACUAAAAACCGGUCCAGUCUAGCCCAAGCUUGGUUAUUCCUUCCCCCACUCCAGGAAGCCACCCCCCCCCCCCCCCCCAUGCAAAGGAAUAUCCAAAAGCUCUAACUCAUCCGUCACCUGGGCAAAUCUUCUCAUGGCGCCAGUCAGCCUCCCCUGAUUACUCCUUUCCCCAAGGUUUAGAGUGACGUUAAAAUCACCCCCAACACACCAAGGGUCAUCCCAGAUUCCCCUAAUCGCCCCAAGCUCCCCCCAGAAGGUGUCCCUGUCAUCUUUGGAAAACGGCCCAUACACACCCGUAAAAAUCCAGGUCUUCCCAUCCUCAACAUUCCUAAGUCUGCAGGAAAUUGUGAAUUGGCCCAUUUCCAUCUCAAGGAUUUCUAGGGUUCUUUUGUCCCAGCAAAUUAGAAUCCCUCCUGCUGUUCCUUGAGCUUCCAAGGCACCCCAAUCCAGAAACCUCCCUGACCCCAAACUCCUAACCAUACCCUCAUUCAUGGAUUGAAUUUUCGUUUCCUGGAUGCAAAACAAGUCAACUUUUUGCUUUCUAAUCAGAGCUUUAAUCACUUUCCUCUUGGAACUAUCAUUGACCCCGCGUACAUUCCAGCUCAAAAGCCUUAUUUUCAUUGGACUUCCAUAAUUUGACACCCUCUUCCUUGCACAGUACCCUUUCUCUUCUUCCCCCCCUCAUAGUUUACUGAGCAUUCAAGUCUUCUCAACUCCCUUUCAAAUUUCGAUUUCUCCAACAUAGCUUUGCUGUGAAUUCUUUCUCUUCUCUUCCUAAUUUUAACCAUAAACUCCAGAAUGUCUUUCUCUAGGCCCUCUGUUGAAAAUCCUAGGAAUUGACUGAACCUAGCCAAAUCACUUUCUUCCCAUCCUUCAUCCACCCAUGCACCCUCUUCUUGAGAAAUAGGCCGGGCUAGGCACAGAGCCUUUCUAUCAUCCUCCAUGCUGUCGUUACUGAUCUCUACCAAGUCCCAACACUUCCCCGCAAACUGCUGUGAAUGCCCAAUUUCCUUGCAUAGGCAAUCCCCCUUGAUUGACUCCACUAAAGUUCCAGAACAGUCGAAAGACUCCUUCCUUGGAGUCCGACCAAAAGAAGAAAAGAAAGGAGGAGAAUGGUCCAAAGUCACCAUUCCAGAGGAAGACGGAACAUACCUUGCGUCUUCCUCCAGCAGAGCGCUAUCGGUUCUGGAGAUCCCCCCCCACUCUGUCUCGUCUCCACGUCUUAGCCCCCACUGGUCAUCCUUCCCCCAGCAGUUGGGGAUGCCCACGCCUGGGCUCCUCAGUGGGCCUCGACUGCGCACCAUAGCAGAGGAUCCCUUCUCCGUCUGGGCCUUAGAAGAAGCAGGAGGAGAUGAGCUUCGAAAAGCAAGCCCAUCCCCUUUUAGUAAACCCAAAGGCCCGGCCUUUUCCUUGGGCUUCCCAUUUCCAUUCCCAUAAAGCAACAACCCAAGCGAGCUUGGCCCAGUGGAAGUGUAAGCUUUAGGCCCUCUAGAAGAUGAUGCUUGGCCCAACAAACCCAGCCCGUCUUCGCUCCGAUUUGGAUCCGAGUUCUGACCCGACCCACUGACCUGACUCUGCGUCCCAUCCUCAGUCAUCAGGCAGUCCUCGAGCCUUGAACCCUCCAUCGCCCCCAACACGCGCCCCCCCGCGCGUGCACUCGCGUCACCCCCUUCCUUCGCAUCUGUCACGACGGUCUUCCCUCUCUUUCCAGUCGCCGGAACUUUGAUGACUGGCCUGAUUUCCCACCAUAAGGUAACCUCGUAACAAAACCCAUCAAUCCAAACCUCCACUAAGCUGGGAGGAGACCCACCGUUCCGCUUCACCAAGAGGCGUGCCCACUGUAAAUCCUCCAUUUUUUCCGUUUGAUGAUCAAUCGCAAGGAAGCCCCCACACGCGUCCCCAAUUUUCCUCAGAAUAUCCCGUUCCCACAUGGAGACAGGCAGCCCAACUACCCGCACCCACGCUUCAUUGCUCCUUUCCCCUUCCUUCAAACAUCCCGUCUCCGGAUUCCACUUCUCUAAACGGAGAUCUAUCCCCCCAAGCAAAAUGCUUCCCAUCUUUGAGACUUGCUCCGCCUCUACCAGGAUCUCAAACUCCAUUAACACCUUUCCCCUCUCCAUUUUAGCCAGCCCUAAACUCCCUUUUAACCUCCAUAUUCUCGCUAGCUGGGAUCCCCACCCUCUGAGAUCAUCACCCUUCGCUGCAUUGUGAUUCCAAGUCCCAACAAUACAGUGGCCAAGUUUGGAUAAAUUCCUUCCCACCUCUUCCGUAGUAAUAUCUACCCUAGCUGUUGCUCUCUCCUUUUCCUUCGCCACUUUGGUCGCCUCCACAUAAGACUUCACCAUGUUCGGCUUCCUCCGGGACACAACUGCCUUCUGGUUAUUAGGGCACCUUUCUUCGCAGCCCAAACUCCUCAGUGUGUCCGCCAUUGAAGCCCAUCCACCCCUUUCUCCUCUUCCUCUAGGAAUAUAGACACUAAACCUCUUUCCCUCCAAAUCCGCAACUCCCAAACGAAGAAAGCAGCCCCCUCUGUUGUAAUCGCGCGACAGAGAGUACAUCCUCCCGUUUUCCUUCCACUCUCUUGCCCACCUACCCAUUCUUCGGUCCUCAAUACUCAGAUUCAAACAUUCAAAGACUAUCCCAAGGCUCAUCGGACCUAGUCUGACCCACGACGAGAUCCCGCCUUUCUUCUCCACAAUCGUGGCAUGCAAUCUACCUCUCCUCUCCUCCACCUCGACCUCGAAUCUUUUCGAUUCCACGCCGAAUCCACCCCUCUUGACAUUACUCCCAGGCCUCGCAUGGCUCGCGCCUUCUGCGAUUUCCGUCGAACCCUCAUCGUCACCGCUCUCUCCCUCUCUCGCGAUCUUUCUCUCUCUAGCCCUCUCUCUCUCCUCCAUCUUUACAACAAAGAUAAGCUGUUAUACAUACCCACCACCAUUUGUCUGAGUUUAGUAUGAACAUAUGAAGAAUUACCAUCACCAUUUGUUAGCCAGGCUCUAACAUAAGCAAAGAGUCCUCAACAAAGCGCUUAAAGUGGCUAAAGCAAGAACAAAUUUCAUUUAUGUGAAAAACAGAAACAGUCAGGUAAACCAAGAGUACUCAUUCACCAAUAGUAAAUAGUAUUGAUGUCUAGCAUGAGAUGCCACAGGGUCAGGAAAGCAUAAGUUUGGAUGUGUUGAUUGCAAUCUGGACUAUGAUAUGAUAAAUGAAAAGGCAAGCUAGACAUCUUACCUGACAACCAACUCAAAGGAAUGUUUAUGGCAGAUAAAGAAUCAUCUAACAAAAUAAACUUCUGCAUAACCAAGGCAAGAAAACAUUCUGACGCCAGUUGGAAGAAGUAUGGACUCUCCAUUGCUUGGGUCCGCAUGAAGAACUCUCCCUCAUGUCAGAUCUUUGAUGAUGAUGUCUGAGGAGAAAAUAAGGGUUCAAAUUCCUAGCUAAAUGUGCAUAGGUAGAAGAUUUUCUGGAAUGCAGGAAUGUGUAAAGCAUGCUAUAAUGAGAAUGUAGGUGUGGGGUGGGCAAAGUAAUUGUUGCCUGUUUUGAAAUUAGUAGUUGGGUCAUUCCCCUCAAAGAUGGUGUGUGAUCCAUGAUGGUCUGAAUACAAACAGAAAUUCUAGAGAUUGGAAGUCAUGUGUUGGGUGCUCUGGCAUAUUGGUAUCACUGCUAAUAGGAGGAGCCAAGAGUGUGGUAAAAUAUUUCCAUAUAUGCAUGGUUAAAUGGCUAUGGAAAUGAACAGUAUCAUGACCAUGGCCUAUGCAAAUCUGACACAAAAUUAGAGGGAGUGGUAGAGGCCUGAGAGUGAAGGAAAAUGGGAGUUGGACCAGGACCAAGAAGACUAGGGUGGGGGUGAGAUUGGGGAUAUUAAGGGAACCAUUUCCCACUUCCACAGUCAUGGCCAUGGUUAUUUCUAGGAUCAUUCUGAUUAGAAUGAGGAUUUUAGGUAGACAAGGCAGAAGAGUGGUAGGGGGCCUGCAAUUGAGAAGAGAGGUGAGAUAAUCUGGCCUCAUGUUGAAAGAGAGGAGAAUGAGGUAAUGGCAGAAGGACAAAAGGGUGAGGGAAAAGGAAAAGAUCAAAAUAAGAAAUCAGGAAUUAAUUACAGGAUAAGAGGAGGAAAAGGAUGGGUAGGCACAGUGACUGGUUCUGCCAAGAGAGAAUUUGCCAAGGCUAAAAGAGGGAGACCGGAGAGAGGAUUGCAACACAAUUAUAAGUGGCCAAGGUGUAGUGGUGGCAGCUACAAAAAUGGAGAGCAAGGUAAGGACCAUUGACAAUUGGGUGAUCAUCAUAUCCUGUUAUACUGUUUAGAUAAAUGGUUAUGAAAAGGCUGACCCAUAUUAUACACCAUUAUUGGGGUUAUAUGAUCCACACAAAUGGUAUAUGAUAUUAUGGUAAUGAAGUAGGACUACUGGGAAGAAUUCAUGAAUACAAUGUCAAUAUAUAUGUACUAGCAUACGUGGUGUGGUUACACAAUAUGCUUCUCCUCUCUCUCUCUCUCUCUCUCUCUCUCUCCCUCCCCACCCUGUCCGUCUCCCUCCCUCCCUCCUUUGUGUGUGUGUGUGUGUGAUCAUUUUUUUACCUUAGCAGUAUAAGAGUUGGCAAUGGUGAUGCUGAUGGUGUGAGAUAACAAUACAUUAUUGGUAGUCUAAGUUUUACUACCAAUACAUUUUUUGGACGGUAUGGAAGGAGAGGAAUAGAUUAUCUUUUAGGGGAGGUUCUUUAGAUAUAUAGAAACUCAAAAAUUCUUUUGUAUGUACCUUGUGGAGUUGGGCUAGGGUGUAUAUUAGAGAGGAGUCCUCUUCGCUCUUAGGCUUUUUGGAAUGGCUAGCGGCCAUUUAAGGGUGGGUGAGGUUGCUUAUUUUUUGUGUUCUUGUUUUAGGCUGAUUUGUAUACUCCCUGUAUGCUUUGUGACCUUCCUUUAAUAUAUUUGUGUUUAUCUAUCAAAAAAAAAAAAAAAAGUUUUACUAGUUGUCCAUGUUAACAAAAUUUGGAAACACUGUUGACUAUCUGAGCACAUCAUGUAUUUACGUGUGUAGUAACGGCCAAAUUUUAUUUACUCUAGAAAUGUGAUUUGCUGUUAAUUCUCAAUACCAUUGUUGUUCCUGAACCAUGGCAGUCUGUAACAACCCCAAAUUUCUUUAGCUGUCCCAGAGUUCUGUGACAACCAUAGUUCAAUAAUAUCAGACCGGAUGGAGUUCCCUUCUAAUUUAUUUAACUACUUUAUCUACAGGUGGCAGAGAGGGCCUUGUUUUUAUGGAAUAAUGAUCACAUCGAGAACCUAAUAAAACAAAAUCGCAAAGUCAUACUGCCAAUUAUCUUCCCUGCCUUGGAGAGAAAUGCUAGAAACCACUGGAAUCAGGCAGUACAGAGCUUGACAUUAAAUGUCCGCAAGAUCUUCUCUGAUGUUGACCCUGAGCUGUUCGAGGAGUGUUUGCUCAAGUUUCAGGAAGAUGAAGCACAAGAGAAGGAGGUUAAGAUGAAACGUGAAGCCACAUGGAAGCGCUUAGAAGAGAUAGCUGCCAUGAAAGCUACGAGUAAUGAACCAGUGCUUGUCCCUCGUAGAGCAACCACUCAUACACCUUCUGGCUAGGGAGUGAGCACAUUCCUGAUGGUUACUCCCAAAGUUUAUGAUUUUCAUAUUGGUAUGCAUUGGGAGGAGCCAUGAUGGGGAGUUGUUAAUUCCCUUGGUUGCUUGCUGACCUUGUUUUUUCCUUUUCAAGUUUUGGUUUGUCAGGUAACAAGAGGGUUAAGGAUGAUACCACUGUGAGGGGCACAAAAAGGCCCCAUUCUGGUUCAUAAGCGCGGACUGUAUAUAUGGGGAUUGGGGUUGUUGGAGAAAGCAAAUGGGGAGAUGGGGUUGUAUGGUGCUGCAAUGCAUAGUUAAAAAACCGAAGGAGAUUCAGGUUGUUAAAUUUGGCCUUUUUGCAGUUUGAUGCUCUCAAGGGCGACAGAAAGGAAUCUUCAAUUCACAUAUAUCUGUUUACAUAUUUUUGAAUUUGGUUUAAUUAAAAGUACUCUUAGUCUUCAAAUUUAUUAUAUGUAUCAUUAAACUUGUUGCUUCUGUUAAAUGGAACUACUGUUUGCCAUGAGUUUCCAAUGUAGACAGAAAAACUUUAUAAAUCUAAUUCCGGUUAAGCCCCCAAGAAAAAGGGUUAGUAUGUAUUUCUUCCUUGGCUGCUUGUCAUCCUCCUGUACCCUUUAUUAGUCUCAUUUAUGGGUUCACAAACCCUACUCCUUCCUGCAUCAUGAUUUCCGGACAUAUAUUGUUCUUCUUUCUUUGUGUAAGGUAUAUGCAUGGAGGCUCCAUUUAGUUGUUCUGCAACUGGGUUUAUAAGUAGAUUUUGAUUCAUCUUGGAUGUUGGAAAUGGUUCAACACCAUCAGCAAUGGCUUAAAAGAGAAGGAUGCCCAUGUUUUUCCACUUCACCUCAACCUCAUCAAGAAGGAUGACAACCACCAAGUUGCCUUUUUUUGUGUAGAAUUGGUCAGUUUUCUUUAUCUCUAUAAUGUUAUGGGAGGUUUGAAUUUCAAGCCCUUUCUUUUUCUUUUUUGGUAAUAUGGUAUAGUUUUGAUAUUACUAUAAAUUACAAGUUACCUAAGACUAGAGAUGGAUUAGUGCUAUUUUGGUUAAAUGGAUGUGGAAGAUCAAUUCAAAUGCCAAAUGGGUUUUGAUUAUUCUUUUAAUCUGGAUGUGUACGUUGUUGCUUUCACAAACUAGGAUAUGGUUAAAUUCCUGCGAUUUGUCGACUCACUCUCUCAAAAGUCAAAACCCAUGUCCUGUUUUGGACCUUUCAAAAUUCAAUAUUUAUAUAUGAUUUCAUCACCUUUUGCAUGCUUACACGCUAACAAAUCUACCACGACCAAGUAAAAAUAGAAUAUUUUUAUAGCCUAAUGUUCUUGAUAUUGCCUCAAGAAGUCUUGGCAAGUUUGAUGGUAUAAAUAAUAUAAAGUUGGCUUUAUGACUUGUUCUAUCAUGUGGGCACCUCUCUUUAUCGACAUUAAAUGUUGACUUGAACAUUGCAUAUUGUUGAAGGUGUGAAGCUUCAAAUUAUGGUUUAAGGGGACUCAUUCAUUAACAAGACAUCGAUAAUCACUUCGAAGAAUUCUUUUUGAAUUAGUACUAAAAUUGACCAAUAUAAUACAUUUCUAAAUUCAUCUGAAUAAGAAAAAUUAUGUCCAUUUUCAAUAAUAGGUUGUGGGUAAAAGGCUUAAAUCAUGUGAUUCAACUUUGGUCUCUACAUAUUUGAAUUUGAAGCCUUUCAAAAUUCAUAUAUUGAAGCAUUUGUUGGCUUGACACAUUUAAAUAAUUAAAAUAUACAACUUGUAUCAUGGGAUAAAUGAAACUAGUAAUGCAUAUAUGACUUACCAAUUCCAAGUUUGCAUAUUGACUAUACCCCCUUCAACUUCUACUCAUUGAACCUAUUUUGAUACAUAAAUACGACUCUAAUCAUAACUAGAGAUACCAUCAUGUGCAUGUGUAGACCCCCUUUCAAGAGCCGGGGACUUUUAAGUUUUUUUUAAGGAUUUUAUAACAUUGGGAGGGUGACUUCUCAUCACCAGCAGCUGGCAGCACCCUAGGCAAAUGGGGGGACCCCUUCCCGACACAUGAGACGAGCUGGUGGAGGCAGCAAGUCAAGAUGGCCGGCCAUGCUGGUGGUUAGAGGUGCCAUACUUGCUGAGUGGAACAAUAGUGGAGCCGGUAGUGGCUUGCUGUGGAAGAUAGAAAAAAGGGGGGCAGAGGGUUUCGAGGAGGAGGAAGAAGACCGGGAGGCUGAUCACGGGCAAGAAGGGAACUCACGGAUUCUUUUCUACAGGUUGGUUUUUCUCACGUUAAGGCUUUCCUUUUUGUUUGUGUUAUCUGGAUAUUAAUGAGUUCUUAUCUCGGUGUUUGAAUGCAUUUACUGGGAAUUUUUGCUUGUUUUUGUUGGGACUUUGAGUUUGCUUGCAUUCACCCUCACCAUCCCCACCAUCUAUCAUAUUCAUUGCCAGGAGCUUGAUUCAUCAUUCUGCUCAUUCUAAUAACUUCCAUACCUCAUCAUGCCUCUUUAUACCCAUUGUCAUCCCCUAUACCCAUCAAACCAUCCUACUAAGCUCAUUUCUCACUCUAAACUUUCUUCAUACCCAUUAACCCAUUUCAUCUCCCAUCCAUCACACUUUCUCUCUCUACACCACACCACUCACCUAUUCUCUUUCAAGUGCCCUUUAAGUUCAUUCUUCUCACCUUUGCAUGGCCAUGCACGGCCAUGCAUGACCACCUUCAUACCCAUUCCCUAGUCCACAUGCAUGGUCUCAACAUGCAUGACCACCUUCAUACCCAUCUCCAUGCAUGCCCAUAUCACCUAGCUACUAUACCCGUCAUCACCUUUUCUCUCUCUACAUUCUCCCAUCCAUUUGCAUGGGAACCAUGCAUGCCACCACCCUUCUAUGCCCACCUUACCCAUUCUUUCUCACCACCUUUCUCUCUCUACACCACGUUCUUCAUGCCCACUUCCUAUCCACAUGCAUGAAACCAUGCAUGGAAUCAUGCAUAUCAUCACCCUCUCAUACCCAUUUUCCCUCACCACCGUGGCAACCUCCAUCCACACCACCCCACUUCCUUAUCCUUUAUCCUUGAGGGAAAGGUUUGGUAAGUUUGUUCAUUUUAAUUUCUACAGUGGACGUUUUUUUAUUGUUUGUGGGUCUUGCAUAUUGGUUUUGAGCCCUUGGGCCUAGGUGCAAUUGGGCAUGGUUUGAGUUGACUAUUAUAAAGCAAGUUGUGUGCUGUGAGGCCCUUGGGCCCGUUUAGGCUUGGGGUCAUUAUGCUAAUGGAUAUGGGCUUGAGUUGAAGCCCAGGCCCAUACUUGUUGAUGGAAGGCCUCAUGUUUUAUUCACCCACCUUAAGUUGGCCCAUGCCCACUUCAAUUGAUUUGUUCACCCAUCUUAAGUUGGCCUAUGCCCAUUCCAAGCCCAUGCCCACUUCACUUGAUUUGUUCACCCACCUUAAGUUGGCCCAUGCCCAUUCCAAAGCCAUACCCACCUCAGGUUAGCCCUUUUGUUUUCAAUUUGCAUGACUUAUCUUCCUAAAAACAUUAAUUCCGUUUUCUAAAUUAAAUUCCAAUUUUCGAAAUUUUAAUUCUUACAUCAAUUUAUUUAAUCGUCAUUAUCUUAUUUAUUUAUUUAUUUGUUCAUUUUUAAAAUUCAACCUUUAAUAAUCUCUCAAAAUUCCGUUUUCUAAAUUAAAUUUCAAUGUCUGAAAUUUUAAUUCUUACAUCAAUUUAUUUAAUCGUCAUUAUUUUAUUUAUUUAUUUAUUCGUUUAUUUUUAAAAUUCAACCUUUAAUAAUCUCUCAAAAUUCCGAUUUCUAAAUUUAAAUUCCAAUUUCCGAAAUUUUAAUCCUCACAUCAAUUUAUUUGAAUCCUCAUUAUCUUAUUUAUUUAUUUAUUUUUAAAAUUCAAUCUUCAAACAAUUCCUCAAAAUCCCAAUUUCUAAAUUUAAAUUCCGAUUUCCGAAAUUUUUAAUUCUCAUAUCGAUUUAUUUAAUCAUUAUCAUUUUAUUUAUUCGUUUAUUUUUGAAACUCAAUCUUUAAAUAAUUAUUCAGGAUUCCAGUUUUCAAAAUUUAAUUUCCAAAAUUCCCAUUCCUAAAUUCAAUUCCCAAAACUUCCAUUUCCAAAUAAUUUUCGAGACUCCAAUUAUCAAACAAUCUUCGAGACUCCAAUCUUCAAAUAAAUUUCGAAAAUCCAAUUUUCUCUCUAAUAGUUUUAAUUCCCUUCGGGUUUCAAAUAAUCUCUUGUUUCUCUUGAUUUUACAUAAGCACGAAUGCAAUUUUCAUAAUUCCAGAAUAAUAGAAUUUGUGAGGUUAAUUCAUGCAAGAUCAAUCGGGCUUUGGUGGGGGCCCAACAUAUGUGAUUUCCUUAUGAUUGAUUGAUUGUUCGUUUGAUUUAAUUGCCAUAAAUGAUCGAUUUUAUUUUGCUCUAUGACAUGCUCGAAAUUAUUCCUUAAUUGUGCGCUAACUUCACUUCUUGAUAGCGCUUUAUGGAUUACUGCCCAGAUACGCAUCCACACCCGCUCGGGUCAUUUUCUAUAUGCAUGUUUAGAUUUUCACACGUACAUGAUCAUUCUGAGUAUUCAUUGAUUCCCUCAUCAAUUGCCAUGAUUGCUUUAUUUUAUUAGUAGAGAUCCCAUUUUAGGGACUUAGAGGGGUGCUAUGGUCUUUACCGUACCUUCCUGAUAAGUAACCUGACCCCCGAACCCGAUCCGGUUUUUCACAGACCACAUUUUCCAAAGUAAGGAGUCACACUUAGGGUUUUUCUUUCUUAUUUUGUUUACCCUUUAAAAAUAAAACAAAAAUAAGUGGCGACUCCAAGUCAUUUUUCAAACAAUAAAUAAAAUCAAUUUUUCGAAAUAAAAAUCGAGCUCACCAUCGAGUGGGAAACGCAUUGAGCCGAAAUGCGGGGUCCACAACAUGUCUUCAUCCUUGUCCAAUUAUUGAAAUACAAAUGGAUCAAAUUGAAUGAUGUAAUGAAAUGUGUAUUCAUUUAGAUUAAUCUUCAAUCGUCCACAUGCUUUUGAAAUAAAAUAAUUAUAUGACAUCCCUUGUUCAAUGUACUUAUUUUUUUUUUUUGUCUAUUAUUGUAUUUUUUAUAUUCUCACUUGAUACAAACUCUUCUUUUUUAUGAAGGUAGCUAUAAAUAAAAUUUCCGAAGUCUAUUUACUAAUAGAAAAGUAGACAUUCUUUAUGUAAUAAUCAAAUCAUUUUAUUUUACAAUAUUACAACAAAGAGAAAAUCAAUUAAUGAUAAUCAUAAUUAAUUAAAAAUAUAUUUUUAUUUAUUAUUUAUUUUUAAAUAAGUAAUCUUAUAGAUAUCUAUUUAUACAUUAUUGGAUUACCAUCAACAAUUCAAUGCAUUAAAAUUAUUAAUUCAUUUUUAUAAAAAACCUAGAAACAUUGUGAAUCCAUAUUGCUAGUUUAUUUGGCUUCUAAGGUUAGUUUAUUACAUUUAGCAUGAUAAAAAUACAAUUGGAUAACUCAUAAAUGUUUGUUUCGUGAAAAAAAAAAUUCAAUAUUUUUGUGAAUUGAAUAUGUUGUAAUAUAUCGUAAUAUUAAUGUAUUUGUAUUAUAAUUAUAUUUUAUAAUAAAAGUAAUAAUUUUACAAAAACUUUUUUAAAGUUAAUUGACAUCGAAUGCAUCGUAUCAAUGUAAUACCCGUAUAAAAGAUAAUAAAUUCAUAAAUAAAAAUUUAUAAUUCAACACAUCCAUUAAAAAAAUUUCUCCUUUUCUUUCAAUGGAUUUCAUAAAAUAAAGAAUUUUUUCGAAGUUAUUCACUCUAUAGAUUGAUUCUUAAUUUUUUUUGUAGUUGAAGAAAAUUUUUGGGAUGAGACAAUUUUUUUUUUUUUUUUUUUGUUUUGGGUAAUUGAAGGUUAUUUUUGGUAAUAUUUUUGUAACUUUCUAUUAAUAUUUCAUAGGAAUCAGCAAAAUUGAGCACCACCGCAUCCUAUUCGGUAAUUUUCUCUAAAGAACCCACGGCAUGUGGGAUUAAAUAAUAAUAAUAAAAAUAAUAUCUUCAUGAUUGGGCUUUCUUUUAUAUUUUUCAGAGCAGCCCCGUCAGCCACAUCUAGAUCUGCGUGCCAUAUUCUACUGCCAACACCUCUUGUCGAUGAUUGUACCUUCUGGCACCACGCCUUUUUCAAUUGUACAACCCCAGGAAGCUUGAUUGCUAGGGAGUUUCACAAGACUCGUUCGCAGACGAUUCCACCCCGUCCCAAUCAUCACCGUUUAUACCUGGCGCGUAAACUCCGGAACACCGACAGCAGUAGAAUGGCGGAGUGCCACAAUAGCCAGAUAUGUUUUCCCCACUUCCAGAUUUGCCACGUGUCAAUGUCCAAUGGGGUCGUUCAAUCCGUAUUGGUAAUAGUAAAAACACGGAAUAUCGAUCUCCAUCACGUAAACCCCUCCCUUUUCUCCCUCUCACGAUCUCGAUCGGAUGAAGCCAUUGAAGCAACCUCCAACCUCCAUUACCAAACCCUAAUCGGCUAUCUUCAGAACUCUGAUAAGUUGAUUACGAUACAGCAAUGAACUUAUCUUGAAUACAUACAAUUCCAGACCGUACAGCUAGUCUAUUUUUAGCUUCCGGUUUCUGCAGAAGUGAAGAGCAGAGAGAGAUGCCGACCGUUGCGGUGAAGCUCUACAGCGUCUUUUUUAAAUUCCUCCUCAAACACCGCUUGCAGAACCGGAUCCAAACUCCCUCCGACGAUAACAACCAGUUUGGAGUGACCUCCCGACCCGAGGAGUCGAUUGCAGCCGCAAACCCUUCCUUCGUCGACGGAGUAGCCACCAAGGAUAUUCAUAUCGAUCCGUUCACCUCGCUUUCUGUUCGAAUCUUCCUGCCGGAUACGUGUCUGGUGUCGCCGGAGUUGGAUUCCAAGGGUCAGUUGAAAUCUAGGGUUAAGGCGGUGAGAUCGGAUCGGGAUUCUGUUGAUUCGAAUGCUAAUCCGUGUUUGAAUAGGCGGAACAGUUAUGGUGCGAUUGGUACGAUAAAUGUUGGCGCGAAUUCAGAGCAGACGCGAAGGAUUAGCUACGGGUGUAGUAGCGAUGCAGAGAGUUUGAAUUUGAGACCGGACAGUGGAGUUUACAGAGGGUAUUCGCCGUCGCUGGAGAAUUGUCGGAAAUUGCCCCUGAUGUUGCAGUUUCAUGGCGGAGGGUUCGUGAGUGGGAGCAAUGAUUCGGUGGCCAAUGACUUCUUCUGCAGGCGGAUUGCGAAGUUGUGCGAUGUGAUUGUUGUGGCGGUUGGGUAUAGACUUGCACCGGAAAAUCGGUAUCCGGCUGCAUUUGAGGAUGGGUUGAAGGUGUUGAAUUGGUUGGGGAAGCAAGCAAAUUUGGCAGAGUGUAAUAAGUCUAUGGGAAGUGCACGAGGCGGAGGGCCUGAACUUAAGAAAUCGGAUGUCACGAGGCAUAUUGCGGACACAUUUGGGGCUUCCAUGGUGGAGCCUUGGUUGGCUGCUCAUGGUGAUCCAUCGAGGUGAUUCUUGAUCUCCUUGUUGAUGAUUGGUUAUUCUUCCUUUCCGUUUGCUCCAUUUGUAAAUUAGUAAUAAAGAAAUCGAUCCUAGUUUCAAAAUGCUCAGAUGAAUAAGAUGAUCGAAUUUAGAAUAGUUUUUUGACCUUCCCUCUGUAUAAAUUGCUCCUAUUCUAAGUUGCUAAUGCAGUUGUGAUCUUCAUACCUUGUGCUCAAGCAAUAAGGGUCAGGGUAUUCUCUAUAGCUGCCCAAUUCAAUGCUUUGACCAAAAGGGGAUGAAAAGAACAAAGAGAACAAAUACAAAAAGAGUGGAUUAGGAGUGUUGCUCCCAGGUGGUUUACAUUUCCUCUGCAUUUUGACUGGUUUUGGUGUUUCCUUUAGAAUGACCACCCUGACUAUUGUAAUUUGAGUACAGUGUACUUUAUGGGUCUAUGCCCUUGGCUACUAGAAUAGCAACACUUCCAACAUUUCAGUCAAAAGGUCUUUCAGAAGCGUCUUUUGAAAGACAUUCAGUAACCGCAUUUCUUUCAGCAUGAUUAAUUGAUGUAUCUGAAUUUGUUUUCCAUAUUUUGUAGCAAGGAUGGCACAGUUUAAUAUAAUUUAUUAUUACAAGUCGCCAAUCAAAAUAAUUAUUAUCACAAGCAAAUUAUAUCUCACUUAGUAAAUGUAGAUCUGGGUAUGAUCAAUCAUUAAUCAUGAUUUGGGGAGGUUCAGAUAAUUCUGGUUUUAGAUCAAAAGCCUUCUUCAAUGAUGUUGAAGUGAAAAAGAAUGCAUAGUUAUUGACCUUCCAUAGUUAUUUGAUUUCAGUUGUGAUAAAGCUUCUGAAAAUGGAGGAAAAAGUUCUUUAGUUUUCAAUCUUCUCAAAUUUUGUUAGUUUCUUUCUAUUGUCCUAUUGGUUUAGCAGUUUUAUUGUUUAUUUGUGUUUAAGAGGUUUGGUUAAUGUAUCCUUUCAAAAGUUAAAUGAGCCAAUUUUUGUAAAAUGGGCUGGAAUAUGUCAUUUCUUUUCAGAAGUUUGCGGGGAUUAAUCAUUUCAUCGACUGUAAACUAUACUGCUUAGCCUUUGAGACAUUGAGAGUUAGCUGUGUUAGUGGAUUUAUCUUCUUUUGUGGGGCUUUGCUUUCAAGUUGAUGGGAUUGUAUGAACUUUGUUCCAAAAAGGUAUUUAGAAUCAAUCAAGUUGUGGAAGGUAUGGCAUGGAUGUACAAUUCCAGAAUUGAUAUUGAUUGUGGUGUUAUCUAUGUUUUGGAAGCAGUCUACACCUUUUUCAGGGUUGAGAUAUGUUGUGGGAAAUUCCUCUGUAUGUUUUUCUUUGAUUGGAAAAAGUUCUGUAAGUCUAGAAUGAUGUAUGGUUAAUGAGAAUAGUUGUGUUUCAAAUAGAUUGGUUCUGACAAUAAUUACCUAUCUUCAAAUUCUGCCUGCAAAUAAGUUUGCACUUCGAAUUUUGAAGAGUAGAGGAUGACAUACAGUCAUCUAGUUCGAUGAACUAUAUUAGAAAGCUCAGUUGAACUCAAGAAAGCCUUGUCUUCUUUAGAAUUUUUAAGGAUUGUUCUAGGCUUGAAUUUGUGAGCCAUACUAAUUCAACCUAUUUCCAGGACUAGGUAUGGAAAAAAGUGUUUACCUCCCCUAUCAUGAAGGUUAUCUUACUGAAUGUCUGACUUCUUUCAAUAUUAUUCAACAGAUGUGUCCUCCUUGGGGUGAGUUGUGGUGCAAAUAUUGCAGACUAUGUGGCUCGGAAGGCUGUAGAGCUAGGGAAGCGUCUGGACCCUGUCAAGGUGGUGGCACAGGUCCUGAUGUAUCCUUUCUUCAUUGGAAGUGUCCCCACACAUUCUGAGAUAAAACUGGCGAACUCCUACUUCUACGACAAGGCUAUGUGCAUGCUUGCAUGGAAACUCUUUCUACCCGAGGAAGAGUUCAGCCUGGACCAUCCAGCUGCCAACCCUCUCAUUCCUGACAGGGAACCACCUUUAAAGCUUAUGCCACCAACAUUGACAGUAGUAGCAGAGCAUGACUGGAUGAGAGACAGGGCCAUUGCAUACUCUGCAGAGCUCCGGAAAGUAAAUGUUGAUUCACCAGUUCUUGAGUACAAGGAUGCAGUUCAUGAAUUUGCAACCCUUGACAUGCUCCUGAAGACCCCUCAGGCCCAGGCUUGUGCUGAGGAUAUUGCAAUUUGGGUGAAGAAGUACAUCUCCUUUCGAGGUCAUGAGUUUUCUUACUAAGUAGGACAUGGAAAAUCCAGGAACAGUUGAAGCAUGAACACAAUUUACUGGUGUUUGGUUUAUUAGAAUUUAGAAGAUGAGCAAGAGACAUCAUGUUUGGUUUGUUAGAAGACUGAGACAUCAGGUCACUCUUGAAUUGUUCCUCAAUUUUCUUAUUUACUCCUUGUCCUGUUUUCUUCUUUUUGUAAGAUAGAAGCUUAUCUGAGAGUAGAAGUUAGUUGAGCUGUGAGAUGAUUCACCUCCUGUUGGAGUAAGGCACGGCACGCCGCAUUCGGACGUUGUUGUUAACAUUUUUUCCCUGUGUAUUAAGAUGUAAUAUUUUCUAUGAAUAUAAUUCAUUGAAUGAAAUAUUUGGUUCUUUUGACUGCAUCUCUACUUCCAAUAAUAUUUUCCCUCGUGAUACUUUUAGACCUGAGAAGGGGAAGGGAUGGAACAAGGCAAGUGGACCUCAGACUUAGAAGCUUUUGUGUCCUUGUAUGAGACUGAUUUGCUGGUUGGUAGCAUUUUUGAAUUCCAACGCCAGAUAAUAUCUAGUUAAACUUUGUCAACGUGUGUGAGCAUAAAAUUGUUGGAUGUUAGGGCAAUUCAAAAAUUAAAAUAGAAGAGCAAAGAAAGGAAAAAAACAGUGUAUUAGAGAAGGACCAUUAAAGAAUCAGGAAUAUGAAGAUGUGCUAACCUUACGGGUGAAGCAGUAUGCUCGUACUUUCUUGGUUGCUCAAUGAUCUACUAUUGCUCUAUGCAUCUCCUUCUAUUAACAUAAUAUUUAAACCUUGUCAUACUUUCCAGAUGGAACAAGGGAUCUCGAGAGGUUAUAAGGUGAAUUUUGAUUUUGGUUGCUGAAUCAUCUCUCAUAGGGUUCUGUUCCAGAUGGAACAAGGGACCUUGAGAGUUUAUAAGGUGAAUUUUGAGGUAGGUUGCUGAAUCAUCUCUCACAAGGUUCUGAAGGGUUUCUCUUGUUACAUGUGUAUCUAAUCCCAUCUCUUCUUGGCUAAUAUGCCUCGAUAUCAGAAGCAAUUGAGAAAGCUGGUUCAUGUGAUUGACUUGGGUCCAAGGAGUACAGCUCAGGCACCAGUGGCUCCAGUUCCCCAGCCCACCUGACCAUCUUGUCAUGACUGACGUUCGUUCUUAUGCUGCCCUUUCUUUUGAGUAUCUUGAAGCAACUCUGGAUGAGAUUCUUCAAUCUUGUUUAGGAUUUCAGCCUUCUGUUGCAUGGCCUGGUAAAAGUAUUGGGAAGAUUGAACUGGGCUAUAGAUUUUGGCUUCUGGGAUCACAACGAGUCACAAAUGAACUUCCUCUGUGGGCUCGCAGAUAGGGACUGCUACCAAUGGUUGAAUCCUUAGCUAGUUGCUAACAGCAAUAAAAUGAUGCCUGGUGUACAUUUGAAGAUGUCCACGCUAGCAGCCAUUCCUUUUGUGACCUGCAAUAACUUUAUAUAAUUUUUCAAAAGCAACCAAGAAAUCGUUUAGUCCCUUUUUCACCGAGUAUCUUAUCCCAAGAGGCUGAAGAAAUCCUACAUGAUUGCCUAAUAAGGAUGUCCUGGCAUAAGACAGCUUGAAGAACAUAUCAAAAUGGUGACAACUGAGUGACUUAUGGCUGGCAUGUAAUACUCUUGCAGUCUCCAGUUUGGCUUGGAGAAGUUGCAUAAACCUUUGGGACCUGUUUAAGUGAAAAUAAAAGGGAAUCAGAGGGGAUGACGGUAGUGUUACUGAUUAGGUUAUAUAAACCGUGGCCUUUUCUUCAGCAAAACAAAGAGUAGGAUACCAGUAAGCCAGAUUAAUAGCACUUAUAAGAAAUGUUGUAUUUUUUUAUUUAUUUAAUUUUUACAGUUUUCGUAAGGCAAAUCCAUGUUCGCAAAUUUUCUGCAGGAAUCCUUACUGGACCUUGGGAUGUGAUGCUUAAAUGGUAACCAAUAAGAACAAAUGCAUUCAUUAGAUAGACAUUUAUAAAAGCAGAGAAGAAUGGAUACAUUCAAAGAAGUAGAAGUGACAACAAGUCACUAACUGAUGACAAGAUGAGGGAAAGUUGUCACAAUCCUGUUGAGUCUGUCAUGUUCUAUGGAAACCAUUGGGGGCCCAUUAGUGAAGGCGAACCAGGCAGGCACAGCCAAGAUAAAAAUGCAAAAGAAAACAUGUAUUGAAAUGGAGAGACAAAUAGAUGUCGGUCUAACAUUUGACAAUAUGGUAACAAGUAUAGUUCAUGGUGACAUGAGGAGAGAUGAGACCAACUAUUUGGCAUUGGACUUUGGAGGCUAUGUUGGUAGUAACGAUACUGCUAGCUAGGUAUAGAAACAGGAUAGCAUGAUUUUAAAAAGAAAUGGGUCUGUCAUCACAUUCAGACAACAUAAAGUUUAAGGAUUACCUAGACUAAGAAAGAGUUUGAAGCAAGGAGGACAGGCUGUGAUUCUAAAACACAAUAAUGACCCAUUAUUAACUUAUGAGCAAUGCUUGUAUAUUCCUCAUUGGUUUGUGAUCCAUGGCUUUGCUCGGUGCGCUAAAACAUUUUUCUAUUUCUAACCUUUAUCCUAAAGAUGGAGACUAGUGCCCACAGGUCAUGUAUAAAUAUCAACAUAGCAUUCUACAUUUUGGUCUUAGGCCUUUAUUUCAUGUUUUAAAUAGAGUGCCUCACUCUGGUUCAUUCACUUCAUGGAUGGAACCAGGGACCAAGAGGGUGAAGGCCAAUUUUGAGUUCUGAUGGUGAAUAACAUAGCUGUUGCCUGGAAAGAGACAGAGCAGAAGAUUUAUGUCAUGUUUAUUCACAUAUUCAGUUCAUCCUCACUUUGGCUAACUCCUCAAUAUUGGAAGCGUUUGAGGGAGUAAAGAGUUCAUGAGAUGAACUUUGUGCAUAGGCCUAAAACUGGGUGACCACUGGCUGGGUUGAUCAACCUCCUGGUCAAGUUGACAUGAAAUUGUGCUACCAUAUAUGCUGCUCUGCCCCCAGAGCAACAAUUACAAGCAAAAGUUCUAUGCUCAAAAGUUAUCAAAUGGACCGUUGUGGCACAAGGCAAUCUAAGAGUUAAAAGAGUACCUUUAAGCAUCUGGGCAGUGAGGUUCUUGUUCUCAGCACCAUAUUUUAGUAGCAUUGAGUCGUAAAAAACCUAGGACGACUAAACUCACUUGGUUCACAGAUCUUCAUGGAAAGGUUCUUAUUACAAUUGAUCAGCCUUGGAGUCACCAUGUCUCUUUCUUUCCAGAGGGCGACAUGAAAACACUGCUUUGCUGCGAAUCCCUGAGUUGAUAUCAUGCAACACUAUGGAUAUGUAUAGCAACAACCUACAGUAAUAAAACUUUGCAGCAAUAUUAUGUUCUGUGCAUUUUCUAUCAGAAGCCUCAAUCUCUCUUUAUAUCAAAGUUGGAAUAGUUGAUGUAUUCUAAGCAAGACAUUUCUGUUUGUCCAGUUUGUUAAUUUUCUCACCUACAGAUGAAGCCCUACCAAAAAUUUUAGAAUAAAAUAAUUGCAAAAAGGAAACUGAAAUUAUUAUAAUGGGACAAAUUCCUCACCAUUUUCCCAAGUUUGAGGCAAAAAUCUCUUGUGAUAUUCUCACUUGUUUCUUUCCUAUUUUCUAAACAUGGCCUCUCAUGGUCAAGUGAGCAAUUGUUGGAAAAAUGCAGAUUAAAUAAUAGAUAUGUGAAAGCUUCUGGUGAUGGAUUAUGUUUGUGUAAUGUCUGCACAAUAUCCCUUCACUUUCUUCUGGCUUCUUUAAUCUUUCUAUUGUCCUUCUGUGCGAAAGAGAAUAAAAAAAAUCAAAGAGAGGAAGUUGCUAUGUGAGGGUGUGACCGGAAGAAACAUCAAGCGACAAUGACUGCUAAACAACCACCAUAAUUAAUUUUUAGAAGCUAUUGUAAUUGUCAAUCACAGCACAUCACAUUGUUUUGCAUAUGUUCUGCAUUGAAAAUAGAACUACAGAAGUUCUCUUUUGUUUCUGUCAUUAGUAAAUUCUAGAACAGCCAAAAAGUAUGGAUUUUUUUUUUGAGAAAAUUCAUAGCUGAUGACUGCUAAUUUGGCAUGAUUGAAUUAUGGAGUUGUUCGAUUCGAUGCAGUCUUGAUCUUAAUGUCUUACCCUCCAUCCUUAUCAUUCUCUCAGAAGUUGAACUUCAAUGAACUGCCUGUUCUGAUAGAAUUAGGACCCUGCAGAUCUCUGGCCUUAUGAUGGUUAUGCCAAUGGACCUUGGCAUGAUAAGUUUUCCCUCAAAGACAAUCUUCACCUAGUUUUGAAACUUACAAUUUUGAAUAGUUCUAUCAAGCAUAUUAAUUUAAAGGUUACAUGCAUAGAAUAAACUUUGUCUGUAUUGUUGUCAUGCAGCUGUUGUUCAGAACAUGAAAAGUCUUCUAAGGGAUCAUGAGUCCCUUUAUUCUCAUCUUUGUUCUGGCAGCAUUGUACUGAAGCGGUUCAAAUCAAAUACAAAAUAUUCCGCUCUGAUUAAAUUUAUUCCACUAUAAACAAAGUUAAAACAACAUAGAACAGAAAGUAGGGAACCCCAAAUUUAUUAUGAAGCAAGACCAAAACCAGGAAAAUCCAAUCACAAUCAUUCCCAAUAAGACGACACCAAUGCACAAACACAACCACAUUGAAACUUUCACAUUCUGGAAAACUAAUAAUAGGAGAGGCAAAAUGGCACUAGGAAAGCUAAGGAAGCAAAUGAAGCCGAGAUGGCCAAAGGAGGGAAUGAUCCAGCUGCAGCAGAGCCUCCAUGUCCAGGGCUGGUAUGUGGAGCUGGACUCGGCGCAUGUGAGUGACCAUCAUGCCCUUCAGUAACACCCGCAAAUAUCAAUACUGCAAGGAUCAAACAGAUAGAGGAAAAGGGAAUCAAUGAUCUUCCUCUUGCCAUUUCUGAGAGUUGGAGACAAUCCAAUGAGAUGACUUUCUCAAACAGGUAGCUUUAUAGAACUGGCAUUGAGGAGAAGUCAUGACCUGGCCAGUUAAGGCCACUGCCCGCUACCCAGAUCUUUCUUAAUUUACCAUUUUAUAUACUACAUGAGGCAUGUAAUAGUGUUGAUCUAGUCAACUGAUCAGGUUGCUUAUUACACAAAGCAGAUAGGUUCACACAGGCUGUUCAUUUUAGGAAGUUAGCCUGAAAAUUCAACCUCAGGACUCAUACAUGAAGCCCACAACCCACCAACAAGAGAUCGUACAUGCUUGUACCGCUCAG
rnacentral:lncRNA from 1 species